AAAUUUGAACCCUCUGCUGAUGGAGGUUCAAUCUGCAAAACCACUAACACAUACUACCCCAAGGGUGGUGCACAGAUCAGUGAGGAACACGUCAAGGGAGGAAAAGAGAAGGGUUUGGGAAUGGUUAAGGCUGUUGAGGCUUACCUCCACGCAAAUCCUACUGCCUACAACUAAUUAUAAUGAAUGCUACUGAAGGACUCUUCCACAUAUUUUCUUCAAGAUUGAAGUAUAAACUGAGGGUGUCUGUUUCCUUUUUUGCUUGGUUUGCUUUAAGCUGUUUGGUUAAGUUAUUUGCAGCAAGAGAAUAAAAUAAUUCAUUUGCUGUUUUUAGAUAUGAAUUCAUGACUGUCAGUAGUCUAUAAAUACACUUAUUCCUCACCACUCUUUGCACCGCAAAAUCUUUUCAAGAUCCAUCAAACCCUCCUGUUCUUGAUCUUUCUCCAUUUGUGAAAAAACAAAUUAAAGCAUCAUGGCCCCUAUCACUUGUAGUGCUGAGAUGACCUCCCCCAAUCCCUCCUGCAAGGUUGUUCAAGGCCGCCAUCCUUGAUGACCACCUUGUUCCCGAGAUCAAGCCACAGGCUAUUAAGAGUGUGGAAAUCCUUGAAGGAGAUGGUGGGUUUGAACCAUUAAGUUGAGCACAUUUGGUGAAGGUUAGAUGUUAUAUUAAAUGUAGAACCCAAAUUUUAAGGAUCUAAUAAUAAUCAAUGCGUGCAGGGUUACAGAAUUGGAGGGAUAAAACAAAUACUCAAAUAAAUGUGGAAGAAAAGAAAAUAAUAAAUUCAACUCACAAAAUUAUUGAAAUUUCAAACAAUGAAAAAAAUCAUACCUUAAUAAAUUCAGUUGGUUUUAAUAAUAAUCAAAGCAUACAAGGUUAAAGAAUUAAAAGGAUAAAACAAACACUCAAAAUAUAUGUGGGAGAGAAGAAAAUAAUAAAUUCAACACACAAUAUUAUUGAAAUCUCAAACAAUGAAAAAAGUCACACCAUAAUAGAAAAUCUUGCAAAUUCUUCUAGAUUCUUUCUCUUGAGAAACCAACCUAAAUAAUGUUCUAUUUAUAAUCUACCAAACUUGUUAGGAAAGAAACCACUUGCAUAAGAAAUUACCAAAUAAAACAGAAAUUCCUAAAUCACACAACUACUAAAAACAUAACUCAAAUAAAACUAAAAAAUAAAUAAAUUUUUCUUGGCUUAGUUUAAUUUGUUAACAUUGCCUCCCUUAAACCAAACUAUCCAUUGAGAUAUGUUCAACACCAUCUCGAGUAACAAUUUCUAUGCAAAUCUAUGUUGUAGUAUACUUGACAUGAAACUCUAACUUGUUACCAGUUAUUAAUUUCAUCUUUACACGUAACAGUGGACGUACUAUGUAUUUUGUAAAAAAUUUCUCAACAAUUUCUUCUUGAUCAAAGUACUCAUUUAUACAAACCCAUUCAUCACCAGAAUCAUCAUAUUUACCACCAAUGUAAGUUCCUAAAAAUACAAAAUCAUUGCUUGCUUUCUCGCUAAAAUUAUCAUAACCAAAUAAUUUAAAAUAGCCACUACUACAAUCAUCCAAAAUUUUCAUACUGUCAGUCAACUCUUUUGGAGUAAAAUAUUUUUCAACUAUAAUGACAUCCAUAUCUAUCAAAUCAAGCAUUCUCCCAUCACUUUGAAGAAAGUCCGAACCAACGAAUUUUUCAACAACAAUUUCAUGAUCUCUUCUCUUAUCAAGUCAAAAUUUUCUUCUUCUUUUGUCAAAUUACCAUAUUAUUGUUUCAACAAAUUCAUUACUUCUAAUUUCUCCAAACAAGGUACGCAAAUCAAAACUAUCAAUUGAUUCAAAAUUUUCGAUAUCACCCAUAUUAUCAACAAAUCUAUCAUUUUUAAAAUCCACAAACCAAUACCAACAACUAGACUUCGGUUUGAAAGCAUAAUUUCUCUCAAUCGUGUGCAAAACAAAGUAAAUAUCCUUCCAAAAUCUCUAAAGUAUUUUAGUAUGACCAAUAAAGGUUUUAUAAAUACUUUCUGCCAUUAUUUUACACAUCACUUGAAAGAAUAAUUGUGCUUUUUUUCUUAAAAACAUGUUUUGCCAACUUACUUGCAUCAACCCAACAAAGAAUAUCAUCCAAAUUACAUUGUUUGAGAUAUUUUUCCACUGUUAAAAUUCAGCCAAAAUAUGUAUGUCUAUUUGUGUUUAUAGGAGUCAAUAUGGAAAAUUUUUCACCAUCAAUCAGAUCUUUAUAAUAUUCCAUUAUUUAACAAUUUGUAUACCUGAAUAAAUUUUUUUCCUCCAUCCUGUCAUGUUUUCUUGGCCUCCUUGGUUGACUGACCAAAUUAUUGUUGUAUGUAUACCCAUGCUUGUCAAACCUCAUUCGUGUACACUCGUAAGGAGUGGUUUUGAGCUUACUGUGAAUGCUUAAUACCAAGAAGUAGAAGAGAGAAUGCAUAAGAGAGAAUUAACUUGGCUAAAGAAUUGGGAAGCAAUUUAGGGAUUUUUUAAGAAAUUAAUUCUCCAACCGCCACUUUUGGAAAUUUCUAUCAACAACUAGUUACCAAAACACUAGGACAGCGAUCCGUCUCUAUUUUACUCUUCAAGUCUUCGCCGGGGAAGCAACCCGGCCUUGCGAGACUAUAAUGAAUAGGCACUUGCCUUCUGUUUUUACUUUUUUUUUGUUCAAAGACUAUAAUGCCCUUAUUAUUUGACUGCGCAUCUCGCAAGAUAAUGCUUUCCAUCAAAAUUAACUGUUGGGUUUGACAGAAGCGCCACGAAUAUUCUAUUUUAUUAGAUCCAGAGUCAAAAUUUUACCGUUAAUUGUUAGAGGGUUAAAACUUUAUCUGGAAAGGAGUUGGAGGGCCAUUGGAACUCUUUUUCCAAAAAAAAAAAAAAGUCACUUUUGUCAUUUGUCCAAGAACAGUUCUGGGGCCAUCUCGACAGUAUAUAUUUUUCUUACAUGCCAAGACAAUUAAUGAAAAUUGACCAAUAACACACGCACACACACACACACACACACACACUCUCUCUCUCUCUCUCUCUCUCUCUCGGUUGCUGCCAAGUCUUUCCAUUGAAAAAGGAAAAUUCAUAUUGUUUACAUAGAUAAAUUACCUCCAGUCCGUGGAAUGUCUUGAUGUUAGGUGAGUUCUAAUAUUUUGGUAUCAUCUAGAGGUGGCAAAUCAACCCACUUAACUAAAUUUACCCAUAUCCGCCCAUGAAUAGAUGGGUAUGGAUAUCUUAAAUUUUUGUAUAUGAGUAUAAAUGGGUUACCCAAUAAUACCCAUUUAAAUGGGUAACCCAUCAAACCCAAUUAACCCAUUUAGAAUUCUCUUCCCCUCAAGUCUCUUCUUUUCCCCCACCUUUUUUUUUUUCAAAUUUUUCAUUUUGUCAUGAUGUUAACUACUUUUGUUUUAUUAUUAUUAUUUGUUGGUUUUAUCUUAUUAUUUUAUUUUCUCUUAGUUUGUUAACUUACUCAUUUUUUACCAUUACCAAUUUAUGAUAAAUUUUAGCCUAUUUUCUUAUCUUUAUAAAAUGAAAUUUUAAAUUUAUAUAUGAAAAAAAUGUUAGGGGUUCAAAAAUUUUGGAUUAAGUUUUUAUAUUAAUUUUUAUAGUACUUAGUUCAAAAUUUUAUAUUCUUAUUAUUCAAUUAUUAAAUAAUAGGUAAUUUUGUGACAUAGAGUAUAAAUGAAAAAAAAUUGGUAAUUAAGUUUAUUGAACAUUAUAAGUAAAUAUUUAAAACUAAUGAUGGGUAUAAAGAGUGAUAUAAAUUGAUAACUUAGUUUGCAAAAAUGAAUUUAAAUGAGUUUGCAAAAAGUUAAAAUAAAUGGGUUAUAAAUGGGUAAUUGGGUUACCCAAUUCAUUUUUUGACUUGCCUAUUUAUACCCAUAUAAUUAAAUGGGUAUAAAUGAGUUGACUCACUUAUACCCAUUACCCAUUUUACCCAACUCAAACCCGCCCAAGUCACCCAUUUUGACACCUUUAGUAUCAUCUAAUGUUCAUUUGUGAAAGAUUGAGAAAUGAUAAAGAGCAAAACACCAAUUUAUUCCAUAAAUUAUUUUGCUAAAAUCAAAAUAGUCCAUAAAUUUUCUUUUGGCCAAAUUUUUGUCAUGAACUUUCAGAAACGGUUGCAGGGGAUUUCAUCCGGAUUGCUUGUGCAGUUGAGUAACUAUACAGAAAUUCUUUUUGGGAUGCUGAGUAUCUUAGGAUGGGUACAAUGAUCGCUUAGAUCAGUAGAGAUGAUUGAUGAUGUAGUAGGGGAAGAUUCCCUUUAUAAAGCUGAUUUUCUCAUGAUUAAUAAGAAUAUAAAUGUUACCAAAUUUUCUUUUCAAAUGUGUAACGAAAAUAUUGGCCAUGAUCAGCAAGACCUCCUUAAUUAUAAAAGUUUCUUGAAUGUCAUCAUCCAAUUUGUUUAAGCGAGGAUUUUUAAAUGCUAUCUUUAAGCAAAUUGAUUUUUGUAUUAUAGAUACUUACUACUAUUACUUCAUACCUAGCUACAAACCUCAUGUAUGUUUUAGUUUUAAUCCAGAACAAAUCAGGGCCACGGGCCACCUUGCACAUAGCGAGAGUGGAAAAAUAAAACUACACAAUUGCUUUUUUGAAGCCAGUGACUCAACUGAUUUUGCGCUCGGCAAUUCAUCCGAUUUUCAUUAAAAGGGCCCUAAGAGGCCAUUGGCGUUUUGGGCCUGUGAAAAUUUGGAUGAUUUGGUGUGUCCAAUGCAUGUGUAAGCACAAAUUUUGUUGUCUAAAAUAAAAGACAAGAAAACUUACAUAAAUAUCAAAUUUAUUAAAUUAAAUAACAAGAGGGUUACAAUAUUUGAAAAUUUUUGAAUCAAAGAAAUUAAUCUCCUAAUUUUUAUCUUCAAAAGGCUUUAAUCGGAAGGCCAAAAAGGCUUGUUCUCCGAUCAAGAGGGUGUUUUCUAUGAUUUCUAUGUAAAAAACGGCUGCUUUGAUGAUGACGUUAAUAUUUGAAUCUUUAAAUCUUCAACGCCGAUGGAAGGAGGAUUUAUUUAACUUAAUUUGGAUUUGGAUUUGAAUUUGAGGGAAAAAGCUCUCAAGAGAAUUUGACAAAGUUACUUUGAAAUUUAGGAAUUUUAAUGUAUUUUUGCCUUGAGGGAAGACCUUUAUUUAGAGUCAACAUAUGCAAGCUAUGUCUUCAAGAGAAUCCUUCAAAACCAUCUUGCGUUUGGGUAACUUGUACCUUAAGAAACCCAUUUAACUUGGAGUUAAAUAGUCGGCCGACCCAAAUAGUCAAUUGUGAAUUAACAAAUCAAUUAAAUCACUUUAAUUUAAAUGGGCAUCACAUUUUUUAUUUGAUUUAAUAGCUCAUAUAACAUUGGCUCAAUUUGUCAAUCCAAAACAUAAUGAACUUCUAUAAUUUAAUUUAAUUUAAUAAAAAUCAAUUUAAUUUACUUAAUCUUGCCUAAAAAUAAAUUAAAUAAAUUUUCGUUGUCUAUGUCCCCACUUCAAAACUUGGCAAGGCAUUGCAUGUUAAUUGCUGGAGGCAAGACUUGAAGUAGAGGUGUCAAGAUGGGUGACUUGGGCGGGUUGGGGUUGGGUAAAAUGGGUAAUGGGUAUAAGUGAGUCAACUCAUUUAUACCCAUUUAAUUAGAUGGGUAUAAAUGGGUAAGUCAAAAAAUGAAUUGGGUAACCCAAUUACCCAUUUAUAACUCAUUUAUUUUAACUUUUUGCAAACUCAUUUAAAUUCAUUUUUGCAAACUAAGUUAUCAAUUUAUACCACUCUUUGUACCCAUCAUUAGUUUUAAAUAUUUACUUAUAAUGUUCAAUAAACUUAAUUACCAAUUUUUUUCAUUUAUACUCUAUGUCACAAAAUUACCUAUUAUUUAAUAAUUGAAUAAUACGAAUAUAAAAAUUUGAAUUAAGUACUAUACAAAUUAAUAUAAAACUUAAUCCAAAAAUUUUGAACCCCUAACAUUUUUUCAUAUAUAAAUUUAAAAUUUCAUUUUAUAAAGAUAAGAAAAUAGGCUAAAAUUUAUCAUAAAUUGGUAAUGCUAAAAAAUGAGCAAGUUAACAAACUAAGAAAAAUAAAAUAAUAAGAUAAAACCAACAAAUAAUAAUAAUAAUAAUAAUAAUGUUAACAUCAUGACAAAAUGAAAAAUUUGAAAAAAAAAGGUAGGGGAAAAGAAGAGACUUGGGGGGAAGAGAAUUUUAAAUGGGUUAAUUGGGUUUGAUGGGUUACCCAAUAAUACCCAUUUAUUAAAUGGGUAUUAUUGGGUAACCCAUUUAUACCCAUAUACAAAAAUUUAAGAUACCCAUACCCAUCUAUUCAUGGACGGGUAUGGAUAAAUCUAGUUAAGUGGGUUGAUUUGCCACCUCUAACUUGAAGUAUUAAUUUUACUGCUGACUUAAAGUCAAACUAAAUUAAAGACUUCAAGCGUUCGGCAUACGGGUGAUCCACUUUUUUUUUUUUUUUUUUUUUUUUCCCUUUUUCUUUGGGAAGAGAAUGGUCCACAUCAAUUGAAGAAUUGCACCUCAAAGUCCAAUUGAAUAGGCAACGGUCACGGGUCUUCACUUUCACCUACUACUUGAAUAAAGCCUUGAAGCUCUUGAAUUUUCCAACUCUUAAUUUAGUCGUCAAUGGAAGUGCAGCCCCACAAUAUUAGACCACAACUUUGACCAGUAGAAAUUAGAAACUCCCAUUUGAUUAAGCGAUGUGGGCUCCUGCGCAGAAACUCCCAUAUGCUGAAAUUUGGAGUUUGCUCUUACGUUUCUGACCACCAAAUCUUGUUUUGGCACUUGGCAAUAUGGAAUUUGCUGAGUUUCAACACUUCCUAAACGGAACUUAAUGUAUUUCCAAAACCUAAGGGUGUGUUUGGAUCCCUUGUUUUUGGGACUGUUUUUGAAAAACUAUUUUUCACAUUCCAAAUGCUACAGUAAAUGUGGAUUAGUUAUUUUUGGGGUUAUUUUUUAAAAAUUAUAUGAAAAACUUUUACUGUAGAUGUUUUUUGGGUUAUUUUUAGAGGUAUUUUUAAAACAUAUUUUUGAGUAUUUUUAUAAUUUAUAAUUUUUAUACAUUUAUGCAUUUAUAAUACAUUUAUAAAUAUUCAUAAAUAAAUAUAUUUAUAUAAAAUAUAUAAAUUUAUUAUAAAUGUAUUAUAUUAUAUAUAAUGCAUAAUAUAAAUAUAUUAUCCCAUGUAUAAAUGUAUAUUAUUAUAAAUGUAUAAAUUAUAAAUGAAUAUUAUAUAAAUGUAUAAAUUAUAAUUUUUAAUUUUUAUAUAAAUAUACAUUUAUGCAUUUAUAAUACAUUUAUAAAUAUUUAUAAAUAAAUAUAUUUAUAUAUUUAUAUAAAAAUAUAUAAAUGUACUAUAAAUGUAUUAUAUUAUAUAUAAUACAUAAUAUAAAUAUAUUUAUAAAUGUAUAAGUGUAUAUUAUUAUAAAUGUAUAAAUUAUAAAUGAAUAUUAUAUAAAUGUAUAAAUUAAUAUAUUAUAAAUAUAUAUUAAUAUUAUGCAUAAAUGUAUUCAUAUUAUGUAUAAAUGUAUUAAUAUUAUGUAUAUUAAUAUAAAUGUAUAAAUGUAUGAUAUUAUAUAUAAUGCAUAAUAUAAAUGUAUAUUAUAAAUAUAAAUUAAUAUGUAUAUUAUGUAUAAAUGUAAAUUUAUAUAAAUUUAUAAUAUAUAUAAUAUAUGUUAUAUAUUAUAUUAUAUAUAAUUUAUACUAUUUAUGUAAAUAUAUUAUAAAUAUAUAAAAAUAUUUUUUAAUAAAAUAAUAUAUUUAUAAUAUGUAUAAAUAAAUAUAUAAAUAUUUAAUAUAUAAUAUACAUUAAUAUUACUUAUAAAUAUUAUAAUAUUGUAAAUAUGGUGUUUAUAUAAUAUUUCAAUUUGUAAUAUUUAUUGUAUAUUUCAUUAUAUAAAUAUUUAUAUAAUAUAUAAUAUAUAAAUAUAUAAUAUAUAAUUUUCAAUUUGUAUAAUAUACAUAAUAUUGUAUAUAUAUAAUAUACAUAAUAUAAUACAUUUAUACAAUAUUACAUAUUAUGUAUAUUAUAUAUUAUACAUAACAUUAUUAUACAUUAUUAUCCAAUACACAUUAUGUGAAAAAUUGGAGGAUCUGGUGUAUCCAAUGCAUGUACAUGUAAAUUUCAAACUGGUGAUACUUUUCACAAAGAGUUUUCAAAUAGUAAAAGUUCUGAAACAACGCAUUCACUGAAUGUGCGAAUCUGUCUUUUAAACAACGUAUUAAUAAAUAUAUCUUUUAAAAUAAAAUGUCUACACAAAUAAAAGAAUGAAUUCCGUGAAUGUGUCUUUUGAGGAAACAACACAUUUACUAAGUAUGUUUUUUCACUUUUUGGGAAGAAGUUUAAAAAAAUCACCCUUUGAAAGGUAAUUUUUAGAAAAUCCCACUUUUUGACAAUUUACUCAAGCUUGUACUCGACAAAAUGUGUUGGGAAAUUUGUGACGUCAGGUGAAUUGUAAAACUGUCGUGCCAUCGUAAUGUAUGUUUUGCACUAGAUUGAGUAAGAAUUAUAUCAAAACAGUCGGCCACAACAAUGUGAAAACUAGAUUGAGUUGUAAUAUUUUUGUAUCAUGUAAGGUAUAUUUGCAAUCGAUUGAGAAUAUAAUAUAUGGAAACAAUAGGUCACAAUGUUGAAAUGUCAAACCUCAUGUUUCAAAACAAAAACUUAUUAAACUCCUUCAUAUCGCCAACGAAUUUUGAUUCUGAAGUAAUAAUAGUUUUAUUUAAUUAUUUGCCUUUUUUUUGGAACAAUAUUAAAAUGUAGCCAUAAAUUUAAAUUCCAAAAUUGUUGAAUACUUGGGGAAUUCUAGAAAUGGCACUGGGAGUCAAAGUUCACCCUAUUCAAACGUCACCAGCCAUCUCAGAGUAGGGCUGCAAACGAGCCGAGUCAAGUCGAGAUUUAAGCUAAUCGAGCCGAGCCUCGACUCAAUUUUACCAAACUCGAGCUCGAGCUCGAAAAAAAAUAAAAAAUAAAUAUUUUAUUUAAAAAAAAUAAAUAAAAUAAUAUUUUUUUCUUAAUAAAUAAUAAAAUAUUAAGGACAUAUACGUAAUUUUACUAUGAAAAUAAAAAAUAAAAAAUAAAAAUAUAAUAUACGUAAUUUUAUUAUUAAAUAAAAAUAAAAAUAAAAAAUAUAUAUAUAUACCCAAGCAGCUUAAUAUUCUGAGCUCGAGUUUGACUCGAGUUGGCUCGAGCUCGACUCGAGUUCGAUUAACAUCGAGCUCGACUCGAGAUUGACUCGAGCCGCUCGCGAGCGGCUCGAUUCGUUUGCAGCCCUAUCUCAGAGUGCAUGUUUCUAUUGAGUUUCUGGAUCAAGGUGCAUCCAUUGCCAUUUUUGGCUGAUCAACCAUGACUAAGAGAAUUAAUUGAUUUGCUUGCCGUUUUUGCAAAAGGAUUCAUUACUUUCAGUAGUCUAUAAAUACUCUUAUUUCUCACCACUAAACCUCUUCAAGAACAACCAAAACCUUCCUGGAUUAAAUCCCUCUUGUUCUUAAAGUAUCAUGGCCCCUAUCACUUAUAGUUCUGAGAUGACCUCCCCAAUCCCUCCAGCUAGGUUGUUUAAGGCCGCCAUUCUUGAUGACACCCUUCUUCCCAAAAUCCUGCCACAGGCCAUUAAGAGUGUCGAAAUCCUUGAAGGAGAUGGUGGAGCUGGAACAAUAAAGUUGAGCAAAUUUGGUGAAGGUUAGAUAUUAAAUUCAACAUGAUUAUUUUCAUAACAGUUGAAUUCAUUCAAGGGAUUUCUUUAAUGUUGUAGUGACUUAUCUUUGGUAAAAUGUAAAAGCUAACAACUUCUUUAUACUUCGAUAUUCAGCUAACAAAUUCAAGAGUGCCAAACACAGAGUUGAUGAACUUGACAAAGAAAACUUCGUUUACAGCUAUAGCGUAAUUGAGAGUGAUGCAUUGAAAGAAGGAAUUGAGAAAUUCACCGAUGAGAUCAAAUUUGAAGCCUCCCCUAAUGGAGGGUCAAUUUGCAAAACUAACAGCAGCAUCUACACCAAGGGUGAUGUCCAGAUCACUGAGGAAGAAAUUAAGGGAGCAACAGAAAGGGCUUUGGGAAUGUUCAAGGCUGUUGAGGCUUACCUCCUUGCCAAUCCUGAUGCCUACAACUAAUUAAUCAAGCUAUUGCAAGACUCUUCCACACAUAUUUACUUACUGUUGUUUUUUAACGAAAGCUUCAAUUGCCUUAAGCUGUAUGGUUGAAUUAUUUUGGAGCUCUGAUCAUAAUAUGUGAUCAAGGUGUGCUUUGCUUGUAUUUUUGCUUGAUCACAGAGUGUGAUCUUGUUUGAUGCUUUUUCUUCGUUCUUGUGCUGCAACAAACUGUUUUGAAUUCAAUUUCAUAUCUCUCAUCUUGAAGUCCCAAGAUUCAAUGGGAUUGGGAAUUCUUACCAAUCAGCAGCAUAUAUUGGAGAAUCGAUAUGGAGACACGAAUUACUAUCAUUUACGUGCUUGCAAAUACAUAUGCUUAGUGCGAUAAUGAAGAUUAAUAAGUCUCAGAAAUGCCAACACAAAUGAGUCGCAGGGAUCUUCUUGUUUAGAGUUAAUUCUAAAAUUCCAAUGCUACUUUACAGAUAUAUAUACGUGUCAAUGUAAAAAAAAAAAAACGACCUUUUGUCAAAAGAAAAGAGAAAAGGGCCAACUCUACUUUACACGCCUAAUAUUUUCUUUAAUUUUUUAAAUCAUAAUUGAUUGUUAUUUUCGACAUUUUGCACCCUAAAUUAUCAAAAUUUCCGGACAUUCUAAUUGCUCUUAAUAUUGAAGAAGUGAUAGAUAUACAGAUGCAGGUUUUCAAUUUUUUCCCCUUUCUGGAUUCGCAAGAGGCAGUGUCUAACUUUUAUUAUUGUUAAGUAGCAAGAAUUGCAGUGUACAAGCACACAUCACUUAUAUUCUUUUUAAUUAAAUUAUGUAAGAGAGUAUGGUGAUCGAAAUUAAUUUAUAAGCCCAAAAUAAAAGCUGGAGAUGUAUUGUAACCAUUGGUAACUUAGGCCACAAAUGAUCAAAAUAUAUCUUGAAGGUGUAAUAUGAGAUUAUGGAUUCAAAGUAUGAGAUUAUGAGAAACUUAUUUAGAGUCAUUUUUGUCUUCCUCAAAAAACAAAAAAAAAAAAAAGUCACUUUUGUCAUUGUCCAAGAACAGUUCUGGCUCCAUCUCGACAGUAUAUAUUUUUCUUACAUGCAAGACUAUUAAUGAAAAUUGACCAAUAACACACACACACACACAUUCUCUCUCUCUCUCUCUCUCUCCCUCUCUCUCUCUCUUACGGUUGCUGCCAAGUCUUUCCAUUGAAAAGGAAAAUUCAUAUUAUGUUUACAUAGAUAAAUUACCUCCGGUCCAUGGAAUGUUAGUGAGUUGUAAUAUUUUGGUAUCAUCUAAUGUUCAUUUGUGAAAGAUUGAGAAAUGAUAUAGAGCAAAACACCAAUUUAUUCCAUAAAUUAUUUUGCUAAAAUCAAAAUAGUCCGUAAAUUUUCUUUUGAUCAAAUCUUGGCCAUGAACCUUCCGGAACAGUUGCUCGAGGAGGGAUUACAUCCGGAUUGCUUGUGCGGUGGAGUAACUAUGCAGAAAUUCUUUUUGGGGUGCUAAGUAUCUUAGGAUGGGUACAAUGAUCGCUUAGAUCAUUAGAGAUGAUUGUUAAUGUAGUAGGCAAAAAUUCCCUUCCUAAAGCUGAUUUUCUCAGGGCCACGGCCCACCUUCCACAUAGCGAGAGUAGAAAAGCUAGAGGAAAAAUAAAACGACACAACUGCAUUCUUAUAAUCAGUGACUCAACUGAUUUUUCACUGGAUUAUUCAUCCGAUUUUCAUUGAAAGGGCCCUAUGAGGCCCUUGGCUUCACGUUCUGGGCCUGUGAAAAAUUGGAUGAUUUGGUGCGUCGAAUGCACGUGUAAGCAUAAAUUUUAUUGCCUAAAAUAAAAGAUAAUAAAACUUGUGUAAAUAUUAAAUUUAUUAAAUUAAAUAAUAAAAGAGUUACAAUUUUUGAAAAUUCUUGAAUCAAAAAAAUUAAUCUCCUAAUUCUUUUCUUUAAAAGAUUUCAAUCGAACGGCUGAAGAGGUUUGUUCUCGGAUCAAGAGGGUGUUUCCUGUGAUUUUGGUGUAGAAAAUAGCUGAUUUGAUGAUGUUAAAUACUUGAAUCUUUAAAUCUUCAAUGCCGAUGGAAGGAGGAUUUAUUUAAUUUGAUUUGGAUUUGGAUUUGAAUUUGAGGGAAAAAGCUCUCGAAAGAAUUUGACAGAGUUUCUGUGAAAUUACGAAUUUCAAUGUAUUUUUGCCUUGAGAGAAGACCUUUAUUUAUUGUCAAAAUAUGUAGGUUAUGUCUUCAAGAAAAUCCUCCAGAACCGUCCUGUGUUUGGGUAAAUUGUACCUCAAGAAACCCAUUUAACUUGGACUUAAAUAGUGGGUCGAUCUAAAUAGUCAACUGUGAAUUAAUAAAUCAAUUAAUCCAUUUUAAUUUAAAUGGGUAUCACAAAUUUGAUUUGAUUUAAUAGCCGAUAUAACAUUUGCCCAAUUUGUCAAUCCAAAACAUAAUAAACUUUUAUAAUUUAAUUUAAUUUAAUUAAGAUUAAUUUAAUUAAUUUAAUUUUAACUAAAUAAAUUAAAUAAAUUUUCGUUGUCUACGGACGUCCCCACUUCAAAACUUGGGGAGGCAUUGCAUGACAAUUUCUGAAGGCAAGACUUGAAGUAUUAAUUUUACGGCUGACUUAAAGUCAAACUAAAUUAAAGACUUCAAGCGUUAGGCAUACGGGUGAUCCACUUUUUUUUUUUUUGGGAAGAGAAUGGUCCAUAUCAAUUGAAGAAUUGCACCUCAAAGUCCAAUUGAAUAGGCAACGGUCGCGAGGCUUCAUUCAAGUCUUGACUCAACUGCUACUUGAAUGAAGCCUCGCUGCUCUUGAAUUUUCCAACUCUUAAUUUAGUAGUCAAUGGAAGUGCAGCCCCACAAUAUUAGACCACGACUUUGACCCGUCUAAAUUAGAAACUCUCAUUUGAUUAUGCGAUGUGGGCUCCUGCGCAGAAACUCCCAUAUGCUGAAAUUUGGAAGUUCGCUCUGAAGUUGCAGACCACCAAAUCUUGUUUUGGCACUUGGCAAUAUGGAAUUUGCUGAGUUUCAACCCUUCCUAAACGGAACCUAAUGUAUUUCCAAAACCAAUGUUUGCAACUUCUGAAUAAGAAUAUGCCAAAUUUCAAGAGCUUCCUAAAUUGACUUCCUGCCAUUGAAAUUAUUCUUGGGAACCAAAUUCAAGUGAUUUCCAAAAAGUUAAAUGAUAAUCACUGAAUUUAGGGUCUAUUUGGAAGUUGAGUUUUUACUCAAGUUUGUAUUAUACUAGUUUUUUACCAACUUUCGCUACAGUAAUCUAAAAAAACUUCUCAAAAUUUUUUAUCUACACACUUCAAAAUACCUAAAACAAAAAAAGAAUUCCCUUCCCCUUUUCUUCUUUUUCCUCCCCCAACCCAACCUACCACCACUUCCGUUGCCCGCCAUCACUCUACCGUCGGUUCUGGCACCGAGCACCUCUUCCGAUGCCGGUCUUCUUUUUUUUUUUUUUUUUUUCCUUUCUCCCUCUCCCUUAUUCCUCCCCCACCACCUUUCUCCUUCCCCUCUGGCUGAUCUGGUCGCAAGACCAGAUCGCACCGAGGGAGGAUGAGGGUGGCGGGGGAAGGGGAGGAGAUGGGGAGAAGGAAAAUUGCAAAAAAAAAAAAAAAAUUUGGCAGUUGCUACUUCAUCUGCUAGCAAGAGAAGGAGAGGAGAGGGAAAAUUGAAAAAAAAAGUUUCUGUUGUUGCAGUAAUUAGGUGCCGGCAAAUUUUGAAGCGGCGGCGAGGGAAGGGGGAGGGCGAAGGGGAGAGGGGAGGAGAGGGGUGGCGGGGGAGGGGAGGAGAGGGAGAGAGGGAGAGGGAGAGGGAGAAGAGGGUGGCAGGGGAGGGAGAGGGAGGUGGCGGGUAGGAGAGGGGGAGACAAAAAAAGCAAAAAAAAAAAAAGAAAGAAAGUUGCUGCUUCAUUGGCUUCGGGAGAGGGAACAGGGGAGGAAAGGGGAAGGAGGAAGGGGAGAAGAAGCAGGAAGGGAGGAAGGAAAAGAAAAAAGAAAAAAAGGAAAAAAAGAAAAAAGAAAAGGAAAGAAAGAAAGAAAAUGAAAAGGAAAAAAAAGUUUUUUCAUCUCACAAAAGUUUUUUUACAACUUCUAUAGUGAUCUACAGUAAAGUUUUAUACAAACACCCAAAAAACUCACCUUUCAACCGGGGCCUUAGUAGCUGCCCAAAACUUAAAACUUCUCAAUACGGUUCAUCUAAGCACCUUUAUAUAUAUAUAUAUAUAUAUAUAUAUAUAUAUAUAUAUAUAUAUAUAUAUAUAUAUAUAUUUAUUUAUAGAGGUACACAAGACAUGUCUUUGUCUUGAAUGUGACAAACAGGGCACUUAAGACAAGGGCGUGUGAAGACUACCGUACUAUUUGAGGGAAAAAAAAACCUGUUUUACAUGCACAUCUUGAAGGUAAUCAUCUUUAUUUUCUUUUGACAAUUUCAUGUUGGUCGAGUAUUAGAUGUUCACCUUGUGAGUCCCCUUAGAUUACUCUUCUUUGGGUCGUUUAACCGCUAACUCCCUGAGUAUUUCUAAUCUAAUUGGGUGUGUGUGUUUCUGACUCUCGACAGAAAAAAAAAGUAUCAAAUGUUCACCAAAUUUUGUUGAAAUCUGUCAAAACUUGAUUUGUUUCCAACUUGGAGAAAAAAAGAUUUUUUUUCUUCGUUUUUGCAAUUUUCCAAUUCACUCUUUCCUAUCAACAUGUUAUGAUUCAGAAUUUGAGACAAAUCUUGUACAUAGGAAUCCUUUUUAACAGCUGAUGGUUUGAAUUUAGCAGACACCUUGAAGUCAAAGAAGGCAACUAGCAUUCCAAUAGCAUUAUUUGGUUGCAUGCCAUAUCCAAGAUUUUCACUAGUAAGCCACCAUUUUCUUGCUUUUGAUUGUUAUUCAUUCUCUAUUGCGCAAUUUUAUUUUCGCACAAUCCAUUUUUUUCUUUGAAUUUUCUCUUUUACAAAAUAGCAACCACUAAGAAAAGACAGAAAGAAUUUUAUUUUUUUUAGGUUGCACCUUGUGUUGGCACCCCUUAUUUGAAGCAAGUCAGGGAUUUCAGGGCCAUAGCUCUUAGAACUCAAAACACUAAAGUAAUUUCCACACUCCAUGACAUUUACUUCUUGUCAAUGCCAAACUCUCCUCUUUUUUUUUUUUUUGUGACAUGAAAGGAAGAUCUCUCAUUGCAACAUAUAUGGUGGACACUCAAUUUGAAAGAAGAUGCAAUCACCAACUCCUACGAGAGCCAUAUCAUGGUUUGAGGAGUAUAAUGAAGAUAAUGCAACCAAAAAUUUGAAUAAGAUGCAACCGCAAACUCCCAUGAGAGUCAUAUCAUGGCUAUCAUGGCUUGAGAAGUACAAUGAAGAUAGUGCAAUCAAAAAUUUGAAAAAGGUGCAACCACAAACUCUCACGAGAGCCUAUCAUGGAUUGAGGAGUACAACGAAGAAAGUGCCAUCAAAAAGUUGAAAAAUAUGCAAUUGCAAACUCCCACAAGAGCCUAUCAUGGUUCGAGGAGUACAACGAAGAAGGUGCAACUACCCACUUCAAUGAGAGCUUACCAAAACUCGAGAAGCGCUUUCAUUUAACUUCACGUUGACAAUUUAUUACUUCUCUCACUGUCUUCGAUCACACCAUUGUAAUCAAAUUUUUUUCUCUUGCUUUUAUUGCAAGUUGGUCCUAACGAAAUGGUGAUGGUCAAGGAAGUUACAUCUUCAAACAAAAGGUACCUCCUUAUCACUAAUAGCCAUGAUGACUCUGCUGACAAAGGAAUGAAAUUAUUGGUGCAUCCCUCUAUACAAGAAACUUACUCUGGUGAUUGGUUUUCUCACAAAUAUUCCGAAUUAAAGGAUUGGUCACUAAAAUUUUCUCAAGAUGAUGGUACAAAAGUUCACUCCUUGAAAUUCCUUAUCAUAAUAAGGAGCCAAGGACAAUUGGCAGGCGAAUCAUAGAUGAAGACACACACUGGGGUGCUUCCUUGAGAUUUAGUGAUGAAUUUGGUUAUAUCGAGAAUUAUUAGGAGCGGUUGGAAGAUAUUUUUGGAAAAAACAAACAAGUGUUUCGUGAAAAUUACUUGUUCGAUGUCUUAUAUGCUUCGCUUCUCAUAUAUAACAAAAAUUCUCAUGUGUUUAGAGCAUUUUGCGAGACAUGGUGCCUAAACACUAAUACCUUGCAUAUGUCAAUUGGAGAAUUAUCUCUCUCACUUUGGGAUCUGUGUAAAUUAGAAGGACUUCCAAUCAUCGGAUACAUCUAUGAAGAGGCGAUCCCAUGUGUAGAGGAACUAACUGGAGUUAAUGAAAAGAAAUUGAGGCAUAUUCCACAAAACUGUGAGUAUUUGUUCGCGGCUCUGCACUAUCUUCAACAUGGAAAAUCCUACAAUUAACUUUUGGUUUAAAGGCAAAGUGAGGUAUUCAAAACCAAAACAGAAAAGGAUAAAGAGAGCAUCUCGUGCUCAAGUGACCCAAAAUCCAGAUGGAGAGAUUGGACAACCAUGUAAAUUUUUAAUUCAAGACAAUGACAUAUAUGAUACCAUUAGAGUCAAGUCUCACUUACGAGAAGAGAUGUAUCUUGGAGCAUUUAUAUCUUGUUGACUCUACAUCUUUGCUCUACUAGAUAAGGACCUCCAUUAUAUUAAACUAUCUACUUUCAAAAUUACUAGUAUGAUGGCCGCCGGAUGUAAAACUUGCCUUGUUGUUCCUGUCUUUCCGAGUAUCUAUUGCAAAUUCAAUAAAAGUUCAAAUUCAUCUACCCCAAAGUGUACGCGUGCAUCUUUUUCAGUGCACUACGUGUAUGCUUAACUAGCGAGUUAUUUCUCUAUCCAUUAUUCAACUCCGAAUAUCAUGCCUGGACCAACAAUUGUCAAUUAUUCUGGAAAGGGUGUGCACAAUAUUUUGAUGAAAACAGUGCUUGUGACCUCAUUCAUCAAGGAGACAAAGUAACUUGGGGGACAACUUCUCUUGUGAAGAAUUAUGUGGCGUUGUUAUGUGGUGUUGACUCAAAUAACAAGUCUUCACUAGUGAAUCCGAUAUUUGUGAUAUCCAUAUCUUCAUUACCAGUAGGUACGUGAGUUAUUUCACAAGGAAAUUUGCGAGUAUCAUCCUUUGUUCUUCAAUAUCAUCAACUUGCGUUGUGUGACAUGAGACCACAUCAAUAUCAAAGAAAUUUUUAGACAUGAAUUCUUUUAAAAUGAUAGAAACUCGCGGCUUUUGGUUGAAUACUUGAUUUUCUUGAAGAUUAUGAUUAUUAUUAUUUUUCUCUAUGUUCUUCUCUUUUCUUUUCCAGACCAUUAUGCUUCUUGUUAAGGCCUUGUUUGCCUUAUUAGAUGGACGAGAGUUUCGUCUUCUUCUUCGCAUGAUCAGAGUCUAUCCUUCGUCAUCUACUUCUGAUUGUAAUGACUUAUUAUCUUCAUAUUCAUAUUUUUGAAGAGUUGAAAGGGCGAUUUUUUGUUCAACUUCUAUAGGAUCAAAUGAUCCAAAUUGAUUGGUUGGCAAUAUAGUUAUCGUAAACUUUUCGACUUCCAUGGACUGCAGUGAAGCAACGGAGGUUUGAUUCAUACUUGCUUUGUUUUUUUCAAGAAAUUUUUUUUCUUGUCUUGCCAAAUCCAUCAUCUCAUCUUUAAAGACAAAGCAUUUUUGAAUGGAAUGUCCAACCAAGCGAUGAUACUUGCAAUAAUUUGGAUUAUCAGUAUUCCUAAUCUUGUCAGGUCAGUUCAUCUUAGAAAGCAUGAUCAAGUUCAUGCUUAACAAAUUAUCAAAUACACCAGGAACAUUAGAAUCAAGGAAAUGGUACUCCUUGUCUUGCAUCUCCUUGAGAGUUGGUUUUCUCUUUCCUUACUCUUGAUGCGUACUAGUUUUCUUGUCUUCUCUCUUAGCAGUUCUGAGAAUAAUCUUGAAAGGUAUUAUACUUGCAUUUGUGGCCUCUUUCUCACUUUUGAUUGGGGGCUUGCCUCCUUUCCUCACUUGUUUCUCCUUAACCUUGCGAGGAUCAGGAACUAGCGACUCUUGUCCAUCAAGGUUAAUUUCUACCUUAUGAGUUUUUAUGGAUAAUUCAUCAAAUAUUUCUGGUUGUACACCUUGCAAGAUGUAUCUGAAUCCCCAAUGCAUGUCUUGAAUACACAUCUCAAUAGCGUAAGACUCGAAAAUUCGAUCCUUACAAUUUAGGCUCAGAUUUUUCGAGUGAUCGAUGAAGUUAAUAACAUGUUCAUUCUUUCACUGGCACGUAUUUUAGAGUUCAAUCAUGCUGACAGUCCUCUUUGUGCUAUAGGAUUAAGGAAUUCUUACUCUAAUUGUUCCCAACUGUCAAUGGUGCUAGGUUCUAAAUCUGUAUACCAAUCAAAGGUGUUACACUUCAAUGAGUGAACAAAUUGCUUAACUAGCAAGUCACCAUCAGCGCAACAUUGUUACAAGUUUUGACAAAGUGCGCAAUAUGUUGUUUAGGGUUACCCUUGCCAUCAAAUUAUUGAAACUUUGGUAAUUGAUAUCCCACGGACAUCUUCAAACUUUCACUCUUGUGGUGUAAGGUUUGGUAUAAUUGUUGUAUGACUUGGUAUUUCCACCAAUCUUAUCCUUGAUCGUACCUUUGAUAAAUUCUUUUAAAUUAUCAACAUGAAUAGUACUAUCAAGAGAGAUUGAAAACUCCUUCAUUGUUUGUGACUUGAUAUCCUCUUUCUCUUUCUCCCUUGAUGAUGAGUUACUUUCAUAUUUUUUACCAUGGCCAUUAGUUAGGCUAUUUUGGCAUCUUGACUUUGCACAUGCCCUGCUAGCCCUUCGACAAUUUGGCAAGAUUUGAAAUUUGAUCUUUCACGGUUGUGGUGUUAGUCAUCAUAAUGGGCAUUACCAUAGAAGUAGCUGUAUUGCUUGAGCUAUCAGCAGAUUCAUCAUGGACUUCCUUCUUGUUGGAAAAAAUCUCAAAAUUUUAUCUUUCAGCCACAGCAUUCGCCUUAACCCUCUCUAUUAAUUUCUUAGCCUUGCUCCUCCUCAUAGGUGCAAUAUACUGCAUCUCCUGAGUUGUUGGAAUGCCAGCAGCUGAGCCUUCAAGAGCAAAACUCACCUUCUUGGACUCCAUUAAUUCUUGAAAUAGGCAAGUUAUUGGAAGAAAAGAGAUGAGAGAUAGAGAUGGUUCCAACGGACGUGUCAUAAAAUUUAUAAGCAUAAAUUUUAUUGCCUAAAAUAAAGACAAGAAAAUUUGCAUAAAUAUCAAAUUUAUUAAAUCAAAUAAUAAGAGGGUUAUAAUUUUUGAAAAUUCCGGAAUUAAAGAAAUUAAUCUUCUGAUUCUUUUCUUCAAAAAACUUCAAUUGAAGGGCCGAAAAGACUUGUUUACCGAUCAAGAGGGUGUUUCCUACGAUUUUGACAUAGAAAACCGCUGAUUUGAUGAUGACGCUAAAUACUUGAUGUUGGAUUUGGGUUUUAUUCAACCAACCGUUCAUUUUGACAAAAUGAACGGUUGGUGGGAUAUAACUCAAAUACAAUAAAAUGAACGGUUAAUGGGAUAAAAUUCAAAUCCUACACUUGUAUCUUUAAAUCUUCAACAUCGACAGAAGAAGGAUUUAUUUAACUUGGUUUGGAUUUGAAUUUAAGGGAAAAAGCUCUCGAGAGAGAAUUUGACAGAAUUUUUUCGAAAUUUAGAAAUUUCAAUGUAUUUUUGCAUUGAGGGAAGACCUUUAUUUAUAGGUAAAAUAUAUAGACUAUGUUUUCAAGAAAAUUCUCCUGAACCUUCUUGCGUUUGGAUAACUUGUAACUCAAGAAAUCCAUUUAACUUAGGUUUAAAUAGUAGAUCUAUCCAAAUAAUUCAUUGUGAAUUAAUAAAUCAAUUAAUCCACUUUAAUUUAAAUGGGUAUCACAAAUUUGAUUUGAUUUAAUAGCCCAUCUAUCAUUGGUCUAAUUUGUCAAUCCAAAACAUAAUAGACUUCUAUAAUUUAAUUUAAUGUAAUCAAGAUCAAUUUAAUUUAUUUAAUCUUGACUAAAUAAAUUAAAUAAAUUUUUGUUGCCUACAGCAUGUACGUCUAAAUUUCCAAAUAAUGAUACUUUUCAAAAAGAGUUUUCAAAUAGUGAAAGUUCUAAAACAACGCAUUCACCGAAUGCGUGAAUGUGUCUUUUAAACAACGCAUUUAGUAAAUACGUUUUUAAGGAAAAAUGCCUAUACAAAUAAAAGAAUGAAUUCUGUGAAUGUGUCUUUUGAGGAAACAACACAUUUACUAAGUAUGUUUUUUCACUUUUUGGGAAGAAGUUUAAAAAACAUCACCCCUUUGAAAGGUACUUUUAGAAAAUCCCACUUUUUGAGAAUUUACUCAAGCUUGUACUUGACAAAAUGUGUUGGGAAAAUUGUGACGUCAUGUGAAUUGUAAAACUGUUGUGCCAUCGUAAUGUAUGUUUUGCACUAGAUUGAGUAAGAAUUAUAUCAAAACAGUCGCCCACAAUAUAGGAAUGUGAAAACUUUAUGUUGGGUGAGUUGUAAUAUUUAUGUAUCAUCUAACGUAUAUUUGCAAACGAUUGAGAAUAUAAUAUAUGGAAACAAUAGGUCACAAUGUUGAAAUGUCAUACCCCACGUUUCAAAACAAGUACUUAUUAAACUCCUCAUAUCGCCAACGAAUUUUGAUUCUGAAGUAAUAAUAGUUUUAUUUAAUUAUUUGCCUUUUUUUUUGGAACAAUAUUAAAAUGUAGCCAUAAAUUUAAAUUCCAAAAUUGUUGAAUACUUGUGGAAUUCUAGAAAUGGCACUGGGAGUCAAAGUUCACCUUAUUCAAAAGUCAGCAGCCAUCUCGGAGUGUGCACGUUUCUAUUGAGUUUCAGGUUCAAUAUGUAUCCAUUGCCAUUUUUGGCUGAUCAACCAUGACUAAGAGAAUUAAUUGAUUUGCUUGCCGUUUUUAAAAAAGGAUUCUGUACUUUUUUUUUUUCUCUUUGAGCAUCCGUAUCUCCACCCUCAAUGAAACUAAUCUAGAUUCAAUAUGAGGAGUGCCCGUAGAUGCUGACUCUUACUCGGAAGUGAAGACUUGACCCAGAACUUUUCAAGGCGUCAUCACAUGUAGGAGUCAAACUUACAAACUCCGUGAAUAGAUAAUUUAGCUCCAGUCUGUGGAAUGUCUUGAUGUUGGGUGAGUUGUAAUAUUUUGGUAUCAUCUAAUGAAAUUUUUGAAAGAUUGAGAAAUAAAUAGAGCAAAACACCAAUUUAUUCCCUAAAUUAUUUUGCUAAAAUCAAAAUAGUCCGUAAAAUUUAUUAUGAGUCAGUUUAGUCCCCCAACUAUUUUUACAAAGCUGAAAUAGUCCUUAAACUUUAUUAUGAGCCAAUUUAGUCUCUCUUUUUUUUUUUUUUUAAAAAAAAAACAAUUCCAUCUUUUUUAUUCAGAAAAACGUAACAUCACAACCUUUUACGUCGCUUACAGGGCAAUGCCCAUGUUUUUCACACCAAAUCCCUAGUUCCCUUUAUUCUUCUAAUGGAAGGUACUCCUAAUCUGUUAAGCCUAAUUUCCCCCCUGGCCAGCAACGGAAUAGUGUACCAACUGUCAUAAAUCCUAACCUCUUCUAGCGGGUGAGAAACCCCCUCAUUGGACAAGAUGUCAGCAACCUUGUUCGAUUCCCUAUAACAGUGCAUGAAAAUAGGACGUUCCCCCGCCAGGCUCAAUAUUUGCUCCACCUCUCUCUUAAUGUGCCAGGGGCAAUGUAGCCGCCCUUGUAAUAUCCCAAUCAACAGUAAUGAAUCAGCUUGUAUAGCCAGACGUUCAACUCCCUUCGCACGACAUAACCGGCUGCCAACCAAGGCAGCCAAUGCCUCUGCUCGUAGACUCGUGCCCUCUCCAAGGAACGCCGAGAACGCAAACACAGCAUGCCCAUUCGAAUCCCUGACCACCCCCUCCUCCACACACACCCGGAUUCCCCUUAGAGCAUCCAUCGGUAUUGAGUGUCAGCACCCCUUGGCCUCCCCCCUUCUAUCGGACAACUCUGAUAUUGUAAACAUAGGAUGGGUAAGAGAUCUUCUCAUAAAAUUGGGGGAAAGUCAGCAUACCCAACUCCUUCUGAAACCGAAUCUCAAACGCAGCUUUGACAUCGUGAGCAAUCAUAUUACAAAUACCUUGGUCUUGCGGCUGGAUACCAUCAAAGACCGCUCUAUUCCUGGCCUUCCAAAUAUUCCAGCAAAUGAGACUAGGGAGCACAUCCAACACAAACCUCUGCUGCCGAGACAACGCCGGGGAAAGCCACCACGUAAUCAAACGUGCAUGUACUUCGGAGCCCUGGACGACUACACCGCACAUGUUUUGGAAGUAACUCCAGACCUGGGAGGCCAGUUGUCCCGUGGAAAAUACAUGCUCGAGUUCCUCUCCUGUGGCAGGCACACAGCAGAAACAUUUGGACGGUAACUGAAACCCCAUCCGUCCCAGAAUGUCAUCUAGGGGCAAUCUUCUCAGUAGCAUUCGGUGCAUGAAAAAGGAGAUUUUCAAUGGAAUGCUAGAUUGCCAGAUUCUGGAGAAAGCCAUUGAGUUAUUCCGAACCUGGCGAACCUCUUGGUAGGCCGAUGCUAAAGAAAAUUUCCCUGACGUCGUAGGCAUCCAGACAGCUUCGUCAGGGAACCCCCUGCGAGGCACCGGGAGCCGUACCACAUUAGCAACACACUCCGGCGGUAAUAUUUGUGUCAGCCGAUAGAUAUUCCAGCUCCCAUUGCACACCAAUUCCGCAAAAGACACAUGCGGCGUAUCUGCCACUCUAAGGAACAGUGCCCCACUCCCCAACCAAUUAUCGUACCAGAAACUGCACUCCCCCUCAUUCACCAGCCAUAAUAUAGAUAAUUCUACAUGCCGGCUCACAUUUACCAUACGGCGCCACGUUGCCGACGCAAACGGAGCGAUGGUUGCUUGACAGGGGUGGAUCCCAUUACAAUAUUUUGCCCGCAUGAACUGAGACCACAAAGAUGAUCAUGUGCGCAAACACCACCAUAACUUACACGAGAAUGCGUUGUACACCUCCCUCACUUGCCGAAACCCCACCCCCCCUCUUCCACCGGAUAACAUAGAUUGGACCACCGGAUCCAGUGGUGCUUCACUUGCUCGUGCGAUGAGCCCCAUAAGAAAUUGGAACACAGCUUCUCAAUGCUUUUAAAUAUUACACCAGGGACCACUGCAGCAGAUAAGAGAUGAAUGGGCAUGGAUGUUAGGACGUGCUUGAUCAACACCAGCCUCCCUCCUGGGGAUAAUAGUUUCGACUUCCAUGAUAUAAUUCGGGCGGCAAUCUUAUGACACAUCUCCCCAUAAUAGGCCGAUUUGCACCUUCCCAGAUAUAGAGGGAAACCUAGAUAUCGAACGGGGAACUGCUGGCGGGAGAAUCCCGUUAUCCUCUCUAUUACCCUCCGGCGCGAAGGUGACAUAGAUGGGUGAACUAAGUAACUACACUUCUGGACAUUCACCAGCUGGCCAGAAGCUUGCUGGUACUGCUCUAAAAUCUGCAUGACUUUCUUCAAGGAUGUAGCCGAGCCAUUCGCAAAGACCAGAACGUCGUCGGCAAACGCCAGGUGUGUCACAGGGGGACAUCCCCUGGGUACUGUGUAACCCAAAAAGCCAGAUUGAGCUGCGAGACUGUUCAGCCCCCUUGACAAUACCUCCGCUCCAAUAACGAAUAAAGCCGGAGACAAAGGGUCUCCCUGACGGAUACCUCGACUAGAUUUAAAAAACCCAUGUGAUGCCCCAUUAAUAAUCACUGAAAACCACACGUUUGAAACCAACCUCCAGACCAUGUCAAUGAAUCGUUCCCCAAACCCAAAUUUGCGCAAGACACCGACAGUGAAACCCCACGAGACUCUGUCAUACGCUUUAGCCAUGUCUAACUUGAAAAUUACAUUUCCCCCUCUAGCCCGGUGUCUAAAUCCCGACAUCAAUUCCUGGGCCAGUAGAUAGUUCUCAGUUAUAUUCCUACCCUUGACAAAACCCGUCUGUUGCGGUGACACCAGUUUUGGCAAUAUCCCCACAAGCCUAUCCGCCAAAAUUCUAGAUAACACUUUAUUAAUAAAAUUGCAAAGGCUAAUAGGCCGAUAUUUCGAAAAGUCCUGAGGAUUUGGUACCUUCGGGAUUAGAACAAUAGAUGUAGAAGUAAUAAAUCUAGGCAGCUCCGCCCCACAGAAAAAACUCAGCACUGCUUGAUAGACAUCAUGUGCAAUAAUCUCCCAUGCAAAAGUGAAAAACUUACCUGUAAAGCCGUCUGGGCCUGCCGAACUGUCCCCAUCUAUAGCAAAGAUCACUCUUUUCACCUCCUCAAGGGACGGACAUGUUUCAAGUGUCUCAUUAUCAUCCCCCGUGACAACACGCGGAAUCAGGUGCAAUAAGUCCCCUGAUGCCCCUCCUGGCUCCGAGAACGGCUCCGAGAAAUACCGGACUGCCAUGGAGGCAAUCCCCUCAUCGUCCUCAACCCAUGCCCCACUCUCAUCCUGCAUCCUAUGAAUCGCCCCUUGCACCCUUCGUUGCUGUACGGUAGCAUGAAAAUACUUAGAGUUCCUAUCCCCGUGCCGGAGCCAUUUGACGCGAGUCUUUUGACUCCAAAAUCGCUCUUCGUUGGACAACGCCAGCCGCAAUUUUGCUUGAGCCUUUUGCAGCUCAAUUUGAGCGUCCCCCGAUUCAUCCUCCUCCACUCGAUUUUCCGCUGCUAACAAGUCCGAUUCUGCCCUUUGAACAGCAAUAAAAAUAUUUCCAAAAGCCUCCUUAUUCCACUCCUGUAUCACCCGUCGGGCCUUUACUAAUUUGGAACAUAACUUCCGUAGGGGGGAGCCCGUACACUCUAACUGCCAUGCAUUUCGAAUAACCUCCAGCAGAUCCUUUCUGUCUGUCCAGAGAUUCAAAAAGCGGAACGGCCUAGGCUUAUUAUCCAUGCGUGAUGCCAAACCAAUCCUCAGCGGGGCAUGAUCUGACGGAUGUCUAGCCAGAUGGACUACUGACACAGAUGAAACGGCAUCUGAGAAGAUUCCAUUAAUUAGUAGCCUGUCUAGACGCUUCCAAAUUCGUUCGCGGCCUCUCCGAUUAUUACACCACGUGUAGCUGGAUCCAGAGAAACCCGCGUCAAAGACCUCCGCCUCCUCCAUGAAUGACAGUAGCUCCAUACCCUCUGCUCUAGCAAAUGGUCUCCUCCCUCGCUUCUCGUGAGGGUCUAUGAUCACAUUAAAGUCACCACAGACACACCACGGAAGUGAGGUGGGUUUGUCAGUCAACAGGUCUUGCCAUAAAAUUCGCCGCUCCUCCAUCGUGCACCGGGCAUGCACAAACGAGAAGCACAGCGACCUUGGUAGCCACGGGUGAUGCACCAGUAACAUAAUGUGCUGUGAAGAAUUACCUAUUAUAGUACAUGUAAUCGGAGCACUAAACAGCACCCAUAUGUCUGCAGACAAGUUACCCACUACAGAAUCAAAUGGUAACCGCAUUUUAAUAGAAUCUAUUUGGGACAUUGCUAGCUUCGGUUCACAAAUAGCAACAAAUUUCAAGUUAUGCAAACGAACUAGCUUAAUCAGACGACGCAGGUUGGGGGGUUUGGAGACCCCUCUAAUAUUCCAAAAUAGCCCACUAAUCAUGGGAUAAAGGUUGGAAAGAGUUUUGAGAUAAUGUUACCGAUGACCGCAGCUGCCUAUCUGAUAGGAACUGAGCCCGAGCGCCUUUUUUCCUUGUUCGCCUAUCCCGUUGGACCAGUACGUCGGCUUGAUCGAUGUUGAGCUCCACCAUUAUGGCGGAUACCGGAUGUGCACCGCCGAUUAAGUCCUCCUCCUCAGCUGCACUUAAAGACCCUUGUUCAGCUAGCACCAUAGCCCCAUCCCCUAUAUCUUGCUCCUGCCAUUGCUGCUCAUUUGGGAUAUCAUCACAGGCAGUACCCGCAACUGCUUCGUUCAAGCCCUUUGAAGCAGAGUUGCUGCUAGUGCCGCUGGUGUCCAUCGCCCUCUUCUCUCCAAGUUCCGCUGCCUGCUCUCUUCCCCCAUUUGGAGCCAGCUCCACCACUGCCAAAUUAGCAGCUGCAACAUCCACCGUCCCCACCGUUGCUCGAUCCUCACUUGCUCCAGUUGCGGCAACAGAUUCUGUCAACCCAGAUGCUGGAGCGGUGACUGAUGCCCCAGGUGCGGCAACAGCCUCUGCUGCCUUUUGGACUCCUAACGUCUGCCCACAGUUAGGAUCAUCAUCUGCCAUCGCUGUCUGCAUUGUUGCAGCAAAAAUAUCUGCUGCACGUUGGGUCCCCAACACCUGCCCACCGUCUCUUGCAUCAGCAACCAUCACGUGCUGCCGCACCUCCGCACCCAGACAUUGCGCCUAACCUUUAGUCUCUCAACUAUUUUGUUUAAGUGAAAUAGCACCUAACCUUUAUUUAUUUGGCCAGUUUCGUCCUUGUUUGACUUAUCUACCCAAUUUAUCAACCUUGUGCACUAACAAUCAGGGGCAAAAUAAGAAAUUUAGUCAAUGCCCUUACAAAAAUGAUAGAAGAAAUAGAUAUUUGACAAAAAAUUAAAAACAAAAUUGAAUCAUGUAGAGAACAAAAAACAUAAUGUUUCUUACGGAGAAAAAAAUGGAGCUGAUGCCUAAAAUCUCACAUGGAUCCAACUCAGUCCAUUGAAUGGAGAAAAGGGAAAAUAACACAACAAGAAUAUGCUAAAAGUUGGAAAAAUGUGCUAUAAUUAUGAUUACUCCUUUAAGAAAUAAAGCUGAAAGAAGCUCAAUUUCUUUUUGUUUUCCAUAUUAUUCAAUUUCGUUGUCGAUUUUUUGAUAGAUGUAUGUUUUUUUAUUGUUUUAAUAAGGGCUGUGAUUGGAUUUCCUAUUAUGACAUUGGCUGUCGAUACUAAACUUGAUAAAUUAGAUGGAUCAUCCAAAUAAAGAUAAAAUUGGCUAUGUAAACAUUGGUGAGGGACUAUUUCAGCUUAAGAAAAAUAGUUGAGGGACUAAAUUGGCUUAUAAUAAAAUUAGGGACUAUUUCAGCUUUGUAAAAAUAGUUGAGAGACUAAAUUGACUCGUAAAAAGUUUAGGGACUAUUUUGACAUUAACGAAAUAGUUUUGGGACUAUAAACAUUAGGUCGCAAUGUUGAAAUAUCAAAACCCGUGUUUUGGACCAAAACUCAUAGAACUUCUUCACGUCGCUAACGAAAUUUGAUUCUGAAGUAAUGCUAAUUUUAGUUAUUAUUUGUUUCCUUGUUGGACUUCUGUCUUUUUGGUUACAAUAUUAAAAUGUAUCCAUAAUUUUCAAUUCCAAAAUUGUUGAAUAUUUAAACGAAUUCUAGAAAGGGCACUGAGAGCCAAAGUCUUAUUCAAACAGCCAGCCAUCUGAGAGUACGUAUUUUUUUAUUAUCAGGUUCAAUAUGUAUCUAUUGCUAUUUUUGAAUGAUCAGCCAUGACUAAGAGAAUGAAAUAAUUCACUUGUUUUUUUUAGAUAUGAAUUCAUUACUGUCAGUAGUCUAUAAAUACACUUAUUGCUCACCAUUCUUUGCACCGCAAAAUCUUUUCAAGAUCCAUCAAACCCUCCUGUUCUUGAUCUUGUCCAUUUGUGAAAACACAAAUUAAAGCAUCAUGGCCCCUAUCACUUGUAGUGCUGAGAUGACCUCCCCAAUCCCUCCUGCAAGGUUGUUCAAGGCCGCCAUCCUUGAUGACCACCCUUAAUGCCACAGGCUAUUAAGAGUGUGGAAAUCCUUGAAGGAGAUGGUGGAGUUUGAACCAUUAAGUUGAGCACAUUUGGUGAAGGUUAGAUGUCAUAUUAAUGUAGAACCCAAAUUUUAAGGAUCUAAUAAUAAUCAAUGCGUGCAGGGUUACAGAAUUGGUGGGAUAAAACAAAUACUCAAAAUAUACGUGGAAGAAAAGAAAAUAAUAAAUUCAACUCACAAUAUUAUUGAAAUUUCAAACAAUGAAGAAAAUCAUACCACAAUAAAUUCAGCUGGUUCUAAUAAUAAUCAAAGCAUACAAGGUUACAGAAUUAAAAGGAUAAAACAAACACUCAAAAUAUAUGUGGGAGAGAAGAAAAUAACAAAUUCAACACACAAUAUUAUUGAAAUCUCAAACAAUGAAAAAAGUCAUACCAUAAUAGAAAACCUUGCUAAUUCUUCUAGAUUCUUUCUCUUGAGAAACCAACCUAAAUAAUGUCCUAUUUAUAAUCUACCAAACUUGUUAGGAAAGAAACCACUUGCAUAAGAAAUUACCAAAUAAAACAGAAAUUCCUAAAUCACACAACUACUAAAAACAUAACUCAAAUAAAACUAAAAAUAAAUAAAUAUUUCUAGGCUUAGUUUAAUUUGUCAACAUUGCCUCCCUUAAACCAAACUAUCCAUUGAGAUAGGUUCAACACCUUCUUGAGCAAUAAUUUCUAUGUUGUAGUACACUUGACAUGAAACUCUAACUUGUUACCAGUUAUUAAUUUCAUUUUUACAUGUAACAGUGGACGCACUAUGUAUUUUGUAAAAAAUUUCUCAGUAAUUUCUUCUUGAUCAAAGUACUCACUUAUACAAACCCAUUCAUCACCAGAAUCACCAUAUUUGCCACCAAUGAAAGUGCCUAAAAAUACAAAAUCAUAGAUUGCUUUUUGGCUAAAAUUAUCAUCACCAAAUAAUUCAAAAUAACCACUACUACAAUCAUCCAAAAUUUUCAUACUGUCAGUCAACUCUUUUGGAGUAAAAUAUUUUUCAAUUCCGAUGACAUCCAUAUCUAUAAAAUCAAACAUUCUCCCAUCACUUUGAAGAGAGUCCGCAACCAACGAAUUUUUCAACAACAAUUUCAUGUUCUCUUCUCUUAUCAAAUCAAAAUUUUCUUCUUCUUUUGUCAAAUUACCAUAUUAUUUUUUUCAACAAAUUCAUUACUUCUAAUUUCUCCAAACAAGGUACGCAAAUCAAAACUAUCAAUUGAUUCAAAAUUUUUGAUAUCACCCAUAUUAUCAACAAAUCUAUCAUUUUUAAAAUCCACAAACUAAUUCCAACAACUAGAUUUCGGUUUGAAAGCAUAAUUUCUCUUAAUCGUGUGCAAAACAUAGUAAAUAUCCUUCCAAAAUCUCUAAAGUAUUUUAGUAUGACCAAUAAAGGCUUUAUAAAUACUUUCUGCCAUUAUUUUACGCAUCACUUGAAAGAAUAAUUGUGCCUUUUUCUUAAAAACAUGUUUUGCCAACAUACUUGCAUCAACCCAACAAAGAAUAUCAUCCAAAUUACAUUGUUUGACAUAUUUUUCCACUGUUAAAAUCCAACCAAAUAUGUAUGUCUAUUUGUGCUUAUAGGAGUCAAUAUGAAAAAUUUUUCACCGUCAAUCAGAUCUUUAUAAUAUUCUAUUAUUUAACAAUUUGUAUACCUGAAUAAAUUUUUUUCCUCCAUCCUGUCAUGUUUUCUUGGCCGUUCUGGUUGACUAAACAAAUUAUUGUUGUAUGUAUACCUAUGCUCGUCAAACCUCAUUCGUGUACACUCGUAAGGAGUGGUUCUGAGCUUAUUGUGAAUGCUCAGUACCAAGAAGUAGAAGAGAGAAUGCAUAAGAGAGAAUUAACUUGGCUAAAGAAUUAGGAAACAAAUGAGGGAUUUUUUAAGAAAUUAAUUCUCCAACUGCCACUUUUGGAAAUUUUCUAUCAACAACUAGCUACCAAAACACUAGCACAUAGUAAGAAAUUGGGAUAAUUUCAGAAACCUCGCUUGAGGCUUUUAAUAAUCUCAAGAAGCUCCCCUCAAAAUUUUAAAAUUACACGUACCAUUCCUAUUGGUGCAAAAGUACUCUACUACCCCUAAUAGGAUACUCAAAAGACUUUUUUAUGGGAAAAAAGAAGGCCAGAAAUCCAAGCGAAAACAAAAAAAAAUCAAUUUCUUUUCUCUUUUAGCCUUUUACGCUUGUGCCUUCUACCUUUGCUCACUUUCCCAUGCCAAUCUUCCUAUAACCACUUUCCUAAUCCCUUUUCCCCAACUUUUCUUCUCUACUUCAAGACCAAUUUUUGUCCAUCAACCUUGGCUUGUGCUUUGUUCCAUUCCCUUCCCUUCUCCUUCUUUGAUUUCCCUUACAUCUCCCUUUCUCUUUGCAAAAGUGACUAGGCUCAUCUCUCUCCUUUUUUUCCCCAUAUUUUAAGUGUAGUGGGUUUGAUUAUUUUGCCUCUAUUUUAUUUGAUUUUGGUGGAUUAUGGGUGAUAAAACUUGGUGAUGUCACAUAUUAAAAGUUUGAUAGAUGGAUAUUGGGCUUUAGACAAUGAUUUGCUGAAAAAAAAUGGCCGCAAUGAGAGGAAGAGGCAAGGGGAUUUGAGUGUGGGGGUUGAUUGUUGAUGAAUUGUUGUUUUGGACAAAAUUUGAGGUUGAGUUUUAUCAAAUUUGGUAGCAAGUGGCGAGAUUUGUUUAGGUUGCGGGAAAUAAAUUGGAUUGUGGUUUCUUGGGCAUCCACAGUCGUUGGAAUUGGUUUUGAUUCAAAUUAGGGUGGUUACUUGAUUUUCCUAAUAGUGUUGCUUAAAAGCACACGAUCAUCAAAAUUCCUUAUUUUUAUCUUUUAUUUUUUUUGUGGAAAAGAUUUCAUGACUUUCGUGAUAGUCUAAUUUGGAAGAAGGCAAUCAAGGGAUGCAAUCAACAUUUAGCAAAAGCUUUUGUUGUUUUCUUUGUAAUUUUUAGGGUAAAAAGGGUAGUUUAGGUUAUUUGAAGGAAAUGAUAGUCUAUUGGAUCUAUUUUGAAGCAUAAAUAGUGAACAUAAGGGAGGUUGGUGUUAUUUCUAAAAUCUAAGGGGAAUUGUCUGAAAUUGUCCGAGACCUCGGAGGAGGUUUUCAAAAUUAUCCGUAAGAAAUCAAAUGCGAAACUUGAUUAGUACACGCACACACGACACCGCACCACGCCACGCGUGUGUUGAGGACUGAUGUCCGUAACCAACGACAAGCAGGUUUUCAAUUUUUUUUUCCUUUCCUAGAUUCAAAGAUGGUGUCAGCUUCUAUUAUUGGUGAGCAGGAGGAAAUCCACAAUAUACAUUACACAUCACCCAUAUUCUUUUUAAUUGAACAAUGUAUGAAAUUAUGGUGAUUCGAAAUUAAAUUAUAUGUUUAUUGGGCAACGAAUCCAAAAUAAGAGUUGGAAAUGUAUUGUGACAACAAUUGUUAACUUUGGCCACAAAUGAUCAAAAUAAAUAUUUAAGGUUUAAUAUGACAUUAUGGGUUCAAAAUAUAGUUACUUGUUAUGAAACAACUAAAAGUGCGGAUGCCCAUUUGUAUUCUCAAAAGGAUCAAUUCACAAUUCAUUGCUCCCAAGAGGAUUAAUUCAUAAUUCAUUGCUAUAUUAUGUAAAGGAAUUACAUUGGAUGAACGGUUUCAAUCCAUAAGAGCUAUUCAUGUAUUGGAUGAACCAUUUCAUAUGGCUAUUUAUAUUCUUGUAGUAAUGAGUGUUUAAUAGAAUUGUUGUACCUCUAAUUUUGUAGUACCUAUAUAUAGAGGUACCUUAGCACCUCUUGGGUGUACUUUUUGAUUAGUUGGAAUAAUAAGAAAAUCAUUCUCUAUUUUUGUACUUCUUUCUCUAAUAUUUCAAUUCCUAUUAUAGUAGUUCAUUUUUUUUUUAGUUUUACAACACGUUAUCAGUACAAGUCUCUACUUUUGAACAAAAAGGUGAAAACGGAGUCUCUACCUUAAAAAAAAGUGAAACACGAGAUUCUGCCGAAAUUCUGCCCGUAUUUUUCCAGUAACUUCUGUCUACUUAUUGAGAAACGGAUGCCAAAUAUUUGGGAUUAAAUAAUGGUGAUGAUGACAUUUGUCUCAUUGAUAGUGCUACUACGCACACUAUAUUGAAAAAUAAGAAAAUUUUCUUGUAUGAAAAUGAGAGAGACAAAUGUUAAUACCAUAAGUGGUAGUGCAAAAUUGAUUGAAAGAUUCGAAAGAGCCACUCUAUUUCUUACUGAAGGGACUAAAAUUGUCGUAAAUAAUGCACUACUGUCUCCCAAGUCUCGGAGAAAUUUAUUGAGUUUUAAAGAUAUCCACGAAAACAGAUAUCAUAUCGGGACAAUAACUGAGACAAAUAAAGAAUUUUUAUUAAUCAAAAGUAUCAUUUCUAGGCAGAAAUACGUAGUAGAAAAAUUACCUUCUUUUUCUUUUGGCUUAUAUUAUGCACAAAUUAGUGCAAUUGAAAUUUAUCACCUAGUAGACCAGAAGUCUACUCAUCCCAAUAAUUUUAUCAUUUGACAUGAUCAUUUCAGAAAUCUUGAAUCUAUAAUGAUGAGACGAAUAAUCGAGAAUUCACAUGGUCACUCAUUGAAAAAUCAAAAGAUAUUAAAAGCAAAUGAAUUUUCCUGUGUUGCUUGUUCCCACGGAAAAUUAAUUAGACCAUCACCCGCUAAAGUUGGGACUGAAUCCCCUACAUUUCUAGAACGAAUUUAUGGUGAUAUAUGUGGAUCAUUUCGAUAAUUUAUGGUGCUAAUUGAUGUAUCAACUGGAUGGUCACAUGUAUGUUUAUUAUCUACUCCCAACCUAGUGUUUGCGAGAUUGCUUGCUCAAAUAAUUAAAUUGCGAGCACAAUUUUCAGACUAUCCAAUAAAGAAAAUUCAUCUAGAUAAUGCUGGUGAAUAUUCAUCACAUACUUUUGACGAUUAUUGCAUGCCCAUUGGAAUAACUGUUGAACAUCUUGUAACUUAUGUUCACACAUAAAAUGGUCUAGCCGAAUCAUUUAUUAAACGGGUACAAUUAAUUGUUAAACCAUUGUUGAUGAGGUCUAAACUACUUUCAUCUGCUUGCGAACAUGCUAUAUUACAUGCAGCAACACUUGUGAGAAUUAGACCGACAAGUUAUCAUACUUAUUUUCCCCUACAAUUAACUUUUGGUGAUAAAUCCAAUAUUUUUUAUUUACGAAUAUUUGGUUGUUCGGUUUAUGUUCUAGUUGCACUGCCCCAACGUCGUAAAUUGGGCUCGCAAAAAAGAUUGAAAAUAUAUGUCGGGUAUGAAUCACCUUUAAUUAUUAAGUAUAUGGAACCAUUGAUAGGUGAUUUAUUUACUGCGAGAUUUAUAGAUUGUUAUUUUGAUGAAUCACAUUUUUCAACAUUAAGGGGAGAUAAAAAUCGACCAAAAAAGGAAAUCACUUUAAAAAUAUCAUUGAAUUUCUCGAUUCUCGUACCGAAGUAUGUGAACUAGAAGUUCAAAAGAUUACACAUUUGCAAAAAAUUACAAAUCAAUUACUGGAUGCAUUUAAUGAUUCCAGAAGAGUUACUAAAUCACAUAUUCCUAUUGAAAAUGCUCCAAUUAAAAUUAAUGUCCUUGAAAGACAAAUUACAAGUGCUAAUGAGUCUAAAGUGCACCUGAAGUGUGGGAGAUCUCUUGGUUCCAAAGAUAAAAAUUCUCGAAAGAAAAGAGGAGCAUAUGAAUCAACAAUUAGUGACAAAAUUCAACCUCUUGAAGAGAUCGCUCCUAAAGAACCAAUUCUUGAGAAGAAUGAAAUCAUAGAAAAUUCAAUAAAUUUUAUCACUUCAGGAAAAAGUUGGAACCGAAAAGAAAUAAUUAUUAAUAGUAUUUUUGCAUAUAAUGUAGCACUUGAUAUUAUGGUAGAGAAUGAGGAUCACGAGCCUAAAUCGAUUGAUGAAUGUCGACGUAGAAAUGAUUGGCUAAAAUGAAAAGAUGCGAUCCAAUCUGAAUUGAACUCACUGGUUAAAAGAAAAGUUUUUGGACCUAUAGUCCAAACACCUGAAGGUGUAAAGCCAGUAGGAUAUAAGUGGGUAUUUGUGAGAAAAAUGAAAUCGUAAGGUAUAAAGUAAUACUUGUAGCCUAAGGAUUUUCACAAAGGCCUGGAUUUGAUUAUGAUUACACUUAUUCACCUGUAGUAGAUGCUAUCACAUUGAUAUUUUGUGAGUUUUGCAGUACAUGAAAAAUCAGAUAUGCAUCUAAUGGACAUCGUUACUGCAUAUUUAUAUGAAAAUCUUGAAAAUGAUAUUUAUAUGAGAAUUCUCGAAGGAUUCAAUAUGCCUGAAGCAUGCAAAUCAAAUCCUAAAAAUAUUUAUUUCAUUAAAUUACAAAGGUCUUUGUAUGAAUUCAAACAAUGUAAACGCAUGUGGUACCACCUCAAUGAAUGUUUAACUAAAGAAGGCUAUACCAAUGAUCCAAUAUGUCCAUGUGUCUUUAUAAAAAAAAUGGAUCAAAUUUUGUGAUAAUUGUUGUAUAUGUUGAUGAUCUAAAUAUGAUUGGAACUCCUGAAGAGAUUCAAAACAGUGUUGAAUAUUUGAAAAAAAAUUUGAGAUCAAAGAUUUUGGAAAAAUAAAAUUUUGCUUUAGUUUACAAAUUGAGCAUUUGAAAAGUGAAAUUUUUGUCCACCAAACUGCUUAUACCUGGAAGGUAUUAAAGCGAUUUUAUAUGGAUAAGUCACAUACAUUAAGUAUUCCAAUGGUCAGAUCAUUAGAUCCUAAUAAGGAUCCUUUAGACCGUGAGAGGAAGAUGAAGAGAUACUUGGUCCUAAAGUACCAUAUCUCAGUGCAAUUGGUGCACUACUGUAUCUUGCUAAUUGUACAAGACCUGAUAUAUCAUUUGCAAUAAAUUUAUUAGCAAGAUUUAGUUCCUCGCCCACAAGACGACAUUGGAAUGAUAUUAAACAUAUUUUUCGUUAUCUUUAAGGAACAAUUGAUCUUGCGUUAUUUUAUUCAAAUAAAUCUAAACUUGAAUUGCUUGGUUAUGCUGAUGUUGGAUAUUUAACUACUCUGCAUAAAACAAAAUCUCAGACUGGUUAUCUAUUUACAUAUGGAGGUACAACCAUUUCUUGGCGAUCUACAAAGCAAUUAUUAGCCACCACCUCAUCGAAUCAUGCUAAAAUAAUAGCAAUUCAUGAGGCUAGUCGAGAAUGUGUUUGAUUAAGAUCAAUGACCUACUAUAUCCGGAAGAGUUGUGGAUUAUCCUCUGAAAAAGAAAAUCCUCCAACUAUAUUUUAUGAAGAUAAUGCAGCUUGUAUAGCUCAAUUGAAAGGAGAAUAUAUUAAAGGAGAUAGAACGAAACAUAUUUCACCAAAUUCUUUUUUACUCAUAAUUUACAAAAGAAUAGUGAAAUUGAUGUGCAACAAAUCCGAUCAGAUAAUGAUUUAAUAGAUUUAUUUACUAAUGCAUUGCUGACUGCAAUAUUUGAGAAAUUGGUAAAGAAUAUUGGAAUGCGAUGACUAUAAGAUCUCAAAUGAUAUUUGCAUCAGGGGAAGAAAUCAAUACACAAGAAUAGUGUACUCUUUUUUCUUCACUAGAACUUUUGUCCCGUUGGAUUUUUUUCUAGUAAGAUUUUAAUAAGACAUAUUCUUUGUGUAAUGAAUAUUCAAUGGGGAGUGUUAUGAAACAACUAAAACUGUGGAUGUCCAUUUGUAUUCUCAAGAAGAUAAAUUCAUAAUUCAUUGCUUUCGAGAGAAUUAAUUCAUAAUUUAUUGCUACAUUAUGUAAAGGAAUUACAUUGGAUGAACGGUUUCAAUCCAUAAGAGCUAUUCAUGUAUUGGAUGAACCAUUUCAUAUGGCUAUUCAUGUUCUUCUAGUAACGAGUGUUUAAUAGAAUUGGUGUACCUUUAAUUUUGUAGUACCUAUAUAUAGAAGUACCUGGCACCUCUUGGGUGUACUUUUUGAUUAGUUGGAAUCAUAAAAAAAUCAUUUUCCAUUUCUGUACUUCUUUCUCUAAUAUUUCAAUUCCUAUUAUAGCAGUUUUUUUUUUUAGUUUUACAACAUUACUCAAAUAAGAGAGUUAUUGGACUACAUGUUUAUUGACCUCUACUAACUUAUUUAAGGUCAUUUUAUAUCACUAUCCAAAGAAGAAUUAAGGUCAUUUUAUAUCACUAUCCAAAGAAAAAUUCUUGGGCGUUAGCAUUUUUCUUACAUGCGAAGACUAUUAAUGAAAGUUGACCCAAAUCUCUCUGUCUCUCUCUCUCUCUCAAUUCUUAGGACUGAUGCCAAUUCUUACCAUUUAGAAAGAAAAAUUAGAUUGUUUAUAUAUAUGAUGAGUUCCCUCUAAGUCAUGGUUAAGAAAAAUUCUUAGUUAAACGUAGUUUUAUGAAAUGUGAAUUUCCUUUUCGUUGUCUUUAUUCAUUAGUAUUAUUGGGAUUAUUGUAUUCUAAUUGCAAUGCACAGAUACAUGGAUUUUUGACAUUUUUUCUUUUUAAUUGACUCUGACUAUGUCUCAAACUCGAGACAUCAAACCUGGAGACGACUUUUGUCCAAAAUGCUUGUAAAAAUUCAGAAGAAUAAUUUUGGACCUUAUUAUUUAAUAAUGGUAGAAUUAUGAGAGUCAUUCCUAGUUAAUUAUCAAACUUGGAACUUGAAAAAAAUGUCGACAUCAUGUCAUUAUUAUUUGUUUGUUUCAUAGAAAAAUAAAGCAUUCUCCGACUCCACAUUAUCAUAUUAUUUUCAAUUGGCAGCUUAAGUGAGAAAGACAGGUGAAAAUUUUGUGCAUUACUAAUUUAUUUAGGCCUCACGCGUCGCGCGAAUGUGCCCACAUCAUCUUCGCUGUAUUGGAGAAAUUUGAGCGCUUUGAUCAUAAGAAAUUCACAAUCACAACUGGCCACAAAGAAAGCACUAACUGGUUUAAACAAAGCAUGCAAAUUUCUUAAACAAUAGAUACCUAAACCAACCAUUUUACCGUCCUGCCAAAAAAAGGGCAUUAAAGUAAAAACAACCUAUGCCUAACACAGCUAACAAACUUCAGCACCUUCACUUCACUGCCACGUCAUCAACAACAUUUGCAAAUUUCCAAGGAAGUCCACGCACUAAAGGUGCCCAUGCCCCAUAGGUAGGGCUGUCAACGGUCCGGGUCUGGACCCGAACCCGACCCGGACCCGCCAAUAUUUGUCGGGUACGAGUAGGCAUAUAGUUCCGGGACCCGGACCCGGACCCGGAACCGUUUAACCUAAUAGAUUUGCGGGUAGAAUACGGAAUAUGCCGUUCCGACCCGUAUAGGACCCGACCCCGUUUUUUAAUUAAUUAAUAAUUAAAAAUAUAUACCCAAUUUUGUUCAACCCUAAAUCCCUAAUAGUCUAAUACCCACGUAACCCACCGCCGCCGCACUCUCUUUUCCUUUGCUCCUUACCCAGCCCCAGCGACCAUUUUUCUCCUCUGCCUCCCAACUCCUGAGUCGCGCCUCCACCACCACCACUCACCACUCACCAGAUCUGCAAUUUUUCAGGAAAUUGACUGAAGUUUGAGUCUGACCGAAAAGGACUAAACGUCUAAACCGAACGUCUUCAGUCUUCCUGGAGUUUCUGCUCGGCUGCCGCCGACUGCUUUUGCCGACUGCAUGUCGCAGCUAACGUGGCACACUACAAGAAAGUGAGAAGACUGCAGUUCGUGGACGCGAUUCCUAAAUCUCCUUCAGGAAAGAUAAUGAGAAGGCUCAUCAAGGAGAAGAUGGCAGAAAUUUAAAUAAGAAGAUGCGACCAGUGGGCGUUUUUGCUCAGAACCAACACGGGUUCUGUAGGAAUAAUCAAUUCCCUCCUCUUAGUCUUCGGUAACAUAUGGGCUGCUAUUCCAUUCUCACCUUUACUAUUGUGAUUGUAAUAAGCUAAUGCGAAAUUCACUUGGGUCGGUCCCAUGGAGAUAUUUUAAAUACUAGUACUAUGUCUGGCUUAAAGCAGUAAAGGCCUCAAAUAGUCACAACCACAGCACACCAGCAGUACUGCCUUUCACACGCCACGAGGUUAUCUCAUCUCGAAGAUCAACAUAGGUAAUUAAGUAGAGCUCCCAAAGUUUGCCACAGGUUUUAACGGGUCUGAUUGCCGGGUAGACCCGGCCCGGAUUCGGGACCCGUCGGAUACGGGUCCGAUGACCGAUUAAAAGAUCCGUCGGGUAUUCGGGCCGAAUCCGGAACUAAUCUAGUAUAACGGGUCCGGAUUCGGAUAUAUGCAUUCCGGCCCGGACCCGGCCCGUUGACAGGCCUACCCAUAGGGGACCUCAGGUUAGUCUUCUUAACAUCAACUCCUGUCUUUCUAUUCUUAGGAAAUAUUGAAAUUAAACGUUAUAACUAAUCCUGAUUUCCUUGUGCCAUAUUUGUACACAAUUUGGCAACAAGGGUAAAAAAAAAAUAAAAAUAAAAAGGUUUAUCUGCAAACUGUAGUUCGGCCUGGCUCUUUUUUUUUUUUUUUUUGGGGAUAAGAUCAUCUCAGCACCCGCAGACCCCGUCAUGUAUCAAUAUUUCUGUACUUAGCAUUGGCUUCUUCCGCCUGAAGAACACACGAACCACCGAAAUAGAUGGUGAAUGAAAGUGCACUUAACCCUUUUAAUUUUUCAAAACAAUUGCUUUUAGAAAAAAUAAUAAAAACUUUUUUGAAUUUAAUUUUAGAGAAGAAGAAUUUUAAACCUUUUUGAAUUUAAUCUUGGAGAAGAAGAAGUUUAAAACGUACUUUAAUUUUCACAACUGAUGAUGAAAAUAGCAAAAUGUUCACGGAGAGUGACAAAAGUGACAUCUUAUCUUUUUGCUGACUGCUCCGCUUUCCAAUGAGAGGGUCCAGAAGGGACCACGGGGAGCAGUUGCAGGUCCAAUCGUUUCUAGUGAUUUUGUGUAUUUUACACAUCAUGUAACUUUAUUUGUAUACGACGUAAUUUUAUUUGUACAACAUGUAAUUUUAAAAUAAAUUUUUGUGAACCCUACACACGUUAUUAAAAAUGAGGUACAAAAAGUAAUUUGGAUUGCAAAAAUUUUUUGAACCAAAUCUUGGCCGUGAACAGCUCAGGAACGAUCCAUCUAAUGAACGCUUCUGCCUCUUAUCCAUCCAGAAGGGGGUGCCUCUGCUUCAUAUUUUAUCCAUAUUGAUAUUUUUUUUUCCUGUGCCUCUAAGUAUUAAAUGUGAAAGGUUGCCCACCAUAUUUGACGAAACCGUUUAUCCUAAUUGAUUAUUAUCAACAGGGCAUAACUUUAAUAUUCUUCGUCCAACCCUUUCUGGUGAUUCCUGCAACUCCAGCCGUCCGUCAAUGACCAUAAAGCACCAUUAACCGACAACUAACUAACCACUACUAAUCUAUUCUCAAAUUUUAAUGAAAUUGCACAAUUAGUUUUCAUUUCUCACUUUUAUUUCAAAUUUGGUCUCAAUUUAAUGUGAACCCCAACAAAUAAGAUCGGAGUUGAAAUCAAAGAAGGUAUUUCAAUCACCAUCAGAUAAAUUCGUCAUAUCUAGUUUUGUUUUUGAGAUGCAUAGAAAAUGUAAGCUGAUUUUUCAAUCUACGAGAAAAACGAAAGUCUAAGAGAAUAAUUUUGUCAAAAUUUGACAAUGGAAUAACAGUUGUGAACGGGUGGCCACUGGUUGGCAGCUAGAAGUUAUAGCAGUUUUAAAACAUAAUUGGAGAAAGUAAAAGAUUAAAACUACGUUGUCUACUAUUAACGACUUACAUUGACAAAAUGGCUAAAGUUAGGGUUGAAAAAUAAAUUAAACUACGCGACAUUCGAAUCAACUUCGAUUGGUAAGAGUUUAUUUCAAUUUGGUUUGUUAACUAGUCAAAUCAAAUUUCAACAACAUUUUAUAGUCGAUAACUUUGAAACUUGAUAAAAAAGUCCGUUUAAACUCGAUUUAGUAAAUAAACAAAUCAAGUUUGAACAAUAUUUUAAACUCAUUAAAAUAAUUAAAUAUGUUUGAAUACUAGGGUAUUCGAUUUAAUUAGAUACGUUUGUACCCCUAAUUAAAGCAUGCACUUUUAUAAGUUUAGGAAUCAACAUUAUACAUUUAAUAGCUAGCUAGAGGGUCAAACAGUUAAUUGCCUUAAAUUCUUUUAGCAGCCAUAAGGUAUAGUUGGAGGGAUUCCCUUGAAAUUGGUUAGAUUCUUCUAUGUGACUAAAGAAUUUCGGGUGCGACGCAUUACUAGUCCUACCCUAAAAAAAAUGGUAUUACUAGUCCUUUUUUUCUUUUUUGGCGUGCCCCCGCCGUGGGAUGUGGGGAGGGGAGUCUGUGCGAGAAUUCUAGGUGGGGUACAAGGAGCCAAAGUUCACCUUAUUCAAAGUAAACAACCGUCCAUCUCAGUUGUCGACUUUCCUGUCGAUUGCGUAUAUAUAUUACUAUCUUUUACCAUGACUCUAGAGGAUAGCUAAUUUUGCUUGCUAUUAAAUAAUAAUUUCGGUAGUCUAUAAAUACUCUUGUUCCUCACCGCUCCUAGCACCACAUAAUUCCUUCAAGAACAGCCAAAACCUUCUUGAAAUCCCUCUUUUUCCUUCUAGUUCAUUUCCAAGAAACAAAUGGCCCCUGUCACUUCCAGUUAUGAGGUCACCUCCUCAAUCCCUCCUGCAAGGUUGUUCAAGGCCACCAUCCUUGAAGAGAAGCAUCUUCACAAGAUCUUGCCACAGGGUGUUAAGAGUGUCGAAAUCCUUGAAGGAGAUGGUGGAGUUGGCACAAUUAAGUUGACCACAUUUGUUGAUGGUAAGAUAAUCAAUACAAAGUGAUUAUUUUCACACAUUUGAAGUCUUCAAAUUGCUCCUUUUAUUUGGGAAAAACUAAUGACUUUUUUUUUUGGUUGCGUUAAAUAUUUAGGUGGCGAGCAUAAGACUGCCAAACAGAGAGUUGAUGGAAUUGACAAAGAAAAAUUUACAUACAGCUAUACUGUACUUGAAGCUGAUGGAUUUAACGAUGUAAUCGAGAAAAUCUGUUGUGUCAUCAAAUUUGAACCCUCUGCUGAUGGAGGUUCAAUCUGCAAAACCACUAACACAUACUACCCCAAAGGUGGUGCUCAGAUCGGUGAGGAACACCUCAAGGGAGGAAAAGAGAUGGGUUUGGGAAUGGUUAAGGCUGUUGAGGCUUACCUCCAUGCAAAUCCUACUGCCUACAACUAAUUAUAAUGAAUGCUACUGAAGGACUCUUCGACAUAUUUUCUUCAAGAUUGAAGUACACACUGAGGGUGUGUUUCCUUUUUUGCUUGGUUUGCUUUAAGCUGUUUGGUUAAGUUAAAAACAAAAUUGAAUCAUAGAGAGAACAAAAAAAAUAUAGUGUUUCUUAUGGAGAAAAAAAUGGAGCUGAUGCCUAAAAUCUCACAUGGAUCCAACAAGGAUAUGCUCAAAGUUGGAAAAAUGUGCUAUAAUUAUGAUUACUCCUUUAUGAAAUAAAGCUGAAAGCAGCUCAAUUUCUUUUUGUUUUCCAUAUUAUUCAAUUUCGUUGUCGAUUUUUGAUAGUUGUAUUUUUUUUAUUGCUUUAAUAAGGGCUAUGAUUGGAUAUCCUGUUAUGCCAUUGGCUGUCGAUGCUAAACCUGAUAAAUUAGAUGGAUCAUCCAAAUAAAGACAAAAUUGGCUAUGUAAACAUUGGUGAGGGACUAUUUCAGCUUAAGAAAAAUAGUUGAGGGACUAAAUUGGCUUAUAAUAAAAUUAGGGACUACUUCAGCUUUGUAAAAAUAGUUGAGAGACUAAAUUGACUCAUAAAAAGUUUAGGGACUAUUUUGACAUUAACGAAAUAGUUUUGAGACUAUAAACAUUAGGUCACAAUGUUGAAAUAUCAAAACCCAUGUUUGGGACCAAAACUCAUAGAACUUCUUCACGUCGCUAGCGAAAUUUGAUUCUGAAGUAAUGCUAAUUUUAUUUAUUAUUUGUUUCCUUGCUGGUCUUCUGUCUUUUUGGUUACAAUAUUAAAAUGUAUCCAUAAUUUUCAAUUCCAAAAGUGUUGAAUAUUUAAACGAAUUCUAGAAAGGGCACUGAGAGUCAAAAUCUUAUUCAAACAGCCAGCCAUCUCAGAGUACAUAUUUUUUUAUUAUCAGGUUCAAAAUGUAUCUAUUGCAAUUUUUGAAUGAUCAGCCAUGACUAAGAGAAUAAAAUAAUUCACUUGCUGUUUUUAGAUGUGAAUUCAUGACUGUCAGUAGUCUAUAAAUACACUUAUUGCUCACCACUCUUUGCACCGCAAAAUCUUUUCAAGAUCUAUCAAACCCUCCUGUUCUUGAUCUUUGUCCAUUUGUGAAAAAGCAAAUUAAAGCAUCAUGGCCUCUAUCACUUGUAGUGCUGAGAUGACCUCCCCAAUCCCUCCUGCAAGGUUGUUCAAGGCCGCCAUCCUUGAUGACCACCUUCUUCCCAAGAUCAUGCCACAGGCUAUUAAGAGUGGAAAUCCUUGAAGGAGAUGGUGGAGUUUGAACCAUUAAGUUGAGCACAUUUGGUGAAGGUUAGCAGUUAUAUUAAAUGUAGAACCCAAAUUUUAAGGAUCUAAUAAUAAUCAAUGCGUGCAGGGUUACAGAAUUGGAGGGAUAAAAUAAAUACUCAAAAUAUACGUGGAAGAAAAGAAAAUAAUAAAUUCAACUCAUAAUAUUAUUGAAAUUUCAAACAAUGAAGAAAAUCAUACCACAAUAAAUUCAGCUGGUUCUAAUAAUAAUCAAAGCAUACAAGGUUGCAGAAUUAAAAGGAUAAAACAAACACUCAAAAUAUAUGUGGGAGAGAAGAAAAUAAUAAAUUCAACACACAAUAUUACUGAAAUCUCAAACAAUGAAAAAAGUCACACCAUAAUAGAAAACCUUGCUAAUUCUUCUAGAUUCUUUCUCUUGAGAAACCAACCUAAAUAAUGUCCUAUUUAUAAUCUACCAAACUUGUUAGGAAAGAAACCACUUGCAUAAGAAAUUACCAAAUAAAACAGAAAUUCCUAAAUCACACAACUACUAAAAACAUAACUCAAAUAAAACUAAAAAUAAAUAAAUAUUUCUUGGCUUAGUUUAAUUUGUCAACAUUGCCUCCCUUAAACCAAACUAUCCAUUGAGAUAGGUUCAACACCAUCUCGAGCAAUAAUUUCUAUGUUGUAGUACACUUGACAUGAAACUCUAACUUGUUACCAGUUAUUAAUUUCAUUUUUACAUGUAACAAUGGACGCACUAUGUAUUUUGUAAAAAAUUUCUCAGCAAUUUCUUCUUGAUCAAAGUACUCACUUAUACAAACACAUUCAUCACCAGAAUCACCAUAUUUACCACCAAUGUAAGUGCCUAAAAAUACAAAAUCAUAGAUUGCUUUCUGGCUAAAAUUAUCAUCACCAAAUAAUUCAAAAUAACCACUACUACAAUCAUCCAAAAUUUUCAUACUGUCAGUCAACUCUUUUGGAGUAAAGUAUUUUUCAACUCCGAUGACAUCCAUAUCUAUCAAAUCAAACAUUCUCCCAUGACUUUGAAGAGAGUCCGCAACCAACGAAUUUUUCAACAACAAUUUCAUGUUCUCUUCUCUUAUCAAAUCAAAAUUUUCUUCUUCUUUUGUCAAAUUACCAUUUUAUUUUUUUCAACAAAUUCAUUACUUCUAAUUUCUCCAAACAAGGUACGCAAAUCAAAACUAUCAAUUGAUUCAAAAUUUUCAAUAUCACCCAUAUUAUCAACAAAUCUAUCAUUUUUAAAAUCCACAAACUAAUUCCAACAACUAGACUUCGGUUUGAAAGCAUAAUUUCUCUCAAUCGUGUGCAAAACAUAGUAAAUAUUCUUCCAAAAUCUCUAAAGUAUUUUAGUACAACCAAUAAAGGUUUUAUAAAUACUUUUUGCCAUUAAUUUAUGCAUCACUUGAAAGAAUAAUUGUGCCUUUUUCUUAAAAACAUGUUUUGCCAACUUACUUGCGUCAACCCAACAAAGAAUAUCAUCCAAAUUACAUUGUUUGACAUAUUUUUCCACUGUUAAAAUCCAACCAAAUAUGUAUGUAUAUUUGUGCUUAUAGGAGUCAAUAUGAAAAAUUUUUCACCGUCAAUCAGAUCUUUAUAAUAUUCCAUUAUUUAACAAUUUGUAUACCUGAAUAAAUUUUUUUCCUCCAUCCUGUCAUGUUUUCUUGGCCUCCCUGGUUGACUAACCAAAUUAUUGUUGUAUGUAUACCCAUGCUCGUCAAACCUCAUUCGUGUACACUCGUAAGGAGUGGUUCUGAGCUUAUUGUGAAUGCUCAGUACCAAGAAGUAGAAGAGAGAAUGCAUAAGAGAGAAUUAACUUGGCUAAAGAAUUAGGAAACAAUUGAGGGAUUUUUUAAGAAAUUAAUUCUCCAACUGCCACUUUUGGAAAUUUUCUAUCAACAACUAGUUACCAAAACACUAGCACAUAGUAAGAAAUCUGGAUAAUUUCAGAAACCUCCCUUGAGGCUUUUAAUAAUCUCGAGAAGCUCCCCUCAAUUUUUAAAAUUGCACGUACCAUCCCUAUUGGUGCAAAAGUACUCUACUACCCCUAAUAGGAUACUCAAAAGACUUUUUUUAUGGGAAAAAAGAAGGCCAGAAAUCCAAGCGAAAACAAAAAAAAUCAAUUUAUUUUCUCUUUUAGCCUUUUACGCUUUUGCCUUCUACCUUUGCUCACUUUCCCAUGCCAAUCUUCCUAUAACCACUUUCCCAAUCCCCUUUCCCCAACUUUUCUUCUCUACUUCAAGACCAAUUUUUGUCCAUCAAUCCUGGCUUGUGCUUUGUUCCAUUCCCUUCCCUUCUCCUUCUUUGAUUUCCCCUAUAUCUCCCCUUCUCUUUGCAAAAGUGACUAGGCUCAUCUCUCUCCUUUUUUUCCCCAUAUUUUAAGUGUAGUGGGUUUGAUUAUUUUGCAUCUAUUUUAUUUGAUUUUGGUUGAUUAUGGGUGAUAAAACUUGGUGAUGUCACAUAUUAAAAGUUUGAUAGAUGGAUAUUGGGCUUUAGACAAUGAUUUGCUGAAAAAAAUGGCCGCAAUGAGAGGAAGAGGCAAAGGGAUUUGAGUGUGGGGUUGAUUGUUGAUGAAUUGUUGUUUUGGAAAAAAUUUGAGGUUGAGUUUUAUCAAAUUUGGUAGCAAGUGGCGAGAUUUGUUCAGGUUGCGGGAAAUAAAUUGGUUUGUGGUUUCUUGGGCACCCACAGUCGUUGGAAUUGGUUUUGAUUCAAAUUAGGGUGGUUACUUGAUUUUCCUAAUAGUGUUGCUUAAAAGCACACGAUCAUCAAAAUUCCUUAUUUUUAUCUUUUAUUUUUUUUUUGUAGAAAAGAUUUCAUGACUUUCGUGAUAGUCUAAUUUGGAAGAAGGCAAUCAAGGGAUGCAAUCAACAUUUAGCAAAAGCUCUUGUUCUUUUCUUUGUAAUUUUUAGGGUAAAAAGGGUUGUUUAGGGUAUUUGAAGGAAAUGAUAGUCUAUUGGGUCUAUUUUGAAGCAUAAAUAGUGAACGUAAGGGAGGUUGGUGUUAUUUCUGAAACCUAAGGGAAUUGUCUGAAAUUGUCCGAGACCUCGGAGGAGGUUUUCAAAAUUAUCCGUAAGAAAUCAAAUGCGAAACUUGAUUCGUACACGCACACACGACACCACACCACGUCACGCGUGUGUUGAGGACUGAUGUCCGUAGCCAACGACAAGCAGGUUUUCAAUUUUUUUUUCCUUUCCUGGAUUCAGAGAUGGUGUCAGCUUCUAUUAUUGGUGAGCAGGAGGAAAUCCACAAUAUACAGUACACAUCACCCAUAUUCUUUUUAAUUGAACAAUGUAUGAAAUUAUGGUGAUUCGAAAUUAAAUUAUAUGUUUAUUGGACAACGAAUCCAAAAUAAGAGUUGGAAAUGUAUUGUGACAACAAUUGUUAACUUUGGCCACAAAUGAUCAAAAUAAAUAUUUAAGGUUUAAUAUGACAUUAUGGGUUCAAAAUAUAGUUACUUGUUAUGAAACAACUAAAAGUGCGGAUGCCCAUUUGUAUUCUCAAAAGGAUCAAUUCAUAAUUCAUUGCUCCCAAGAUGAUUAAUUCAUAAUUCAUUGCUACAUUAUGUAAAGAAAUUACAUUGGAUGAAUGGUUUCAAUCCAUAAGAGCUAUUCAUGUAUUGGAUGAACCGUUUCAUAUGGCUAUUCAUGUUCUUGUAGUAAUGAGUGUUUAAUAGAAUUGAUGUACCUUUAAUUUUAUAGUACCUAUACAUAGAGGUACCUGGCACCUCUUCGGUGUACUUUUUGAUUAGUUGGAAUAAUAAGAAAAUCAUUCUCCAUUUCUGUACUCUUUCACUAAUAUUUCAAUUCCUAUUAUAGUAGUUCAUUUUUUUUUAGUUUUACAACACGUUAUCAGUACGAGUCUCUCCUUUUAAACAAAAAGGUGAAAACGGAGCCUCUACCUUAAAAAAAAAGUGAAACACGAGAUUUUGCCGAAAUUCUGCCGUAUUUUUCCAGUAACUUCUGUCUACUUAUUGAGAAAUGGAUGCCAAAUAUUUGGGAUUAAAUGAUGGUGAUGAUGACAUUUGUCUCAUUGAUAGUGCUACUACGCGCACUAUAUUGAAAAAUAAAAAAAUUUUCUUGUAUGAAAAUGGGAGAGACAAAUGUUAAUAUCAUAAGUGGUAGUGCAAAAUUGAUUGAAAGAUUCGGAAGAGCCACUCUAUUUCUUCCUAAAGGGACUAAAAUUGUCGUAAAUAAUGCACUAUUGUCUCCCAAGUCUCGGAGAAAUUUAUUGAGUUUUAAAGAUAUCCGCAAAAACGGAUAUCAUAUUGGGACAAUGAUUGAGACAAAUGGAAAAUUUUUAUUAAUCACAAGUAUCAUUUCUAGACAGAAAUACGUAGUAGAAAAAUUACCUUCUUUUUCUUUUGGCUUAUAUUAUGCACAAAUUAGUGCAAUUGAAAUUUAUCACCUAGUAAACCAAAAGUCUAUUCAUCCCAAUAAUUUUAUCAUUUGGCAUGAUCAUUUCAGAAAUCUUGAAUCUAUAAUGAUGAGACAAAUAAUCGAGAAUUCACAUGGUCACUCAUUGAAAAAUCAAAAGAUAUUAAAAGCAAAUGAAUUCUCCUGUGUUGCUUGUUCCCACGGAAAAUUUAUUAGACCAUCACCAGCUAAAGUUGGGACUGAAUCCCCUACAUUUCUAGAACGAAUUCAUGGUGAUAUAUGUGGAUUAUUUCGAUAAUUUAUGGUGCUAAUUGAUGCAUCAUCUAGAUGGUCACAUGUAUGUUUAUUAUCUACUCCCAACCUGGCGUUUGCGAGUUUGCUUGCUCAAAUAAUUAAAUUGCGAGCACAAUUUUCAGACUAUCCAAUAAAGAAAAUUCAUCUAGAUAAUGCUGGUGAAUAUUCAUCACAUACUUUUGACGAUUAUUGCAUGUCCAUUGGAAUAACUGUUGAACAUCUUGUAACUUAUGUUCACACACAAAAUGGUCUAGCCGAAUCAUUUAUUAAACGGCUACAAUUAAUUGCUAAACCAUUGUUGAUGAGGUUUAAACUACUUUCAUCUGCUUGCGAACAUGCUAUAUUACAUGCAGCAACACUUGUGAGAAUUAGACCGACAAGUUAUCAUACUUAUUUUUCCCUACAAUUAACUUUUGGUUAUGAAUCCAAUAUUUUUCAUUUAAGAAUAUUUGGUUAUUCAGUUUGUGUUCUAAUUGCACCGCCCCGACGUUGUAAAUUGGGCUCGCAAAGAAGAUUGAAAAUAUAUGUCGGGUAUGAAUCACCUCUAAUUAUUAAGUAUAUGGAACCAUUGACAGAUGAUUUAUUUAUUGCGAGAUUUGUAGAUUGUCAUUUUGAUGAAUCAGAUUUUUCAACAUUAGGGGGGAGAUAAAAAUCAACCGAAAAAGGAAAUCACUUUAAAAAUAUCAUUGAAUUUUCUCGAUUCUCGUACAAAAGAAUGUGAACUAGAAAUUCAAAAGAUUAUACAUUUGCAAAAAAUUACAAAUCAAUUACCGGAUGCAUUUAAUGACUCCAGAAGAGUUACUAAAUCACAUAUUCCUAUUGAAAAUGCUCUGAUUAAAAUUAAUAUCCUUGAAGGACAAAUUACAAGUGCUAAUGAGUCUAAAGUGCGCCUGAAGCGUGGGAGAUUUCUUGGUUCCAAAGAUAAAAAUUUUCGAAAGAAAAGAGGAGUACAUGAAUCAACAAUUAAUGACAAAAUUUAACCUCCUGAAGAGAUCGCUCCUAAAGAGCCAAUUCUUGAAGAGAAUAAAAUCAUAGAAAAUUCAAUAAAUUUUGUCACUUCAGGGAAAAGUUGGAACCGAAAAGAAAUAAUUAUUGAUAGUAUUUUUGUAUAUAAUGUAGCACUUGAUAUUAUGGUAGAGAAUGGGGAUUACGAGCCUAAAUCGAUUGAUGAAUGUCGACGUAGAAAUGAUUGGCCAAAAUGAAAAGAUGCGAUCCAAUUUGAAUUGGACUCACUGGUUAAAAGAAAAGUUUUUGGACCUGUAGUCCAAACACCUGAAGGUGUGAAGCCAGUAGGAUAUAAAUGGGUAUUUGUGAAAAAAAAAUGAGAAAAAUGAAAUCGUGAGGUAUAAAUUAAUACUUGUAGCCAAAGGAAUUUCACAAAGGCCUGGAUUUGAUUAUGAUUACACGUAUUCACUUGUAGUGGAUGCUAUCACAUUUAGAUAUCUUGUGAGUUUUGCAGUACAUGAAAAAUCAGAUAUGCAUCUAAUGGACGUCGUUACUGCAUAUUUAUAUGAAAAUCUUGAAAAUGAUAUUUAUAUGAGAAUUCCCGAAGGAUUCAAUAUGCCUGAAACAUGCAAAUCAAAUCUUAAAAAUAUUUAUUUAAUUAAAUUACAAAAGUCUUUGUAUGGAUUCAAACAAUCUGAACGUAUGUGGUACCGCCUUAAUGAAUGUUUAACUAAAGAAGGCUAUACCAAUGAUCCAAUAUGUCCAUGUGUCUUUAUCAAGAAAAAUGGAUCAAAUUUUGUGAUAAUUGUUGUAUAUGUUGAUGAUCUAAAUAUGAUUGGAACACCUGAAAAGAUUCAAAAUAGUGUUGAAUAUUUGAAAAAAAAUUUGAGAUCAAAGAUUUUGGAAAAAUAAAAUUUUUCCUUGGUUUACAAAUUGAGCAUUUGAAAAGUGGAAUUUUGUCCACCAAACUGCUUAUACCCGGAAGGUAUUAAAGCGAUUUUAUAUGGAUAAGUCACAUACAUUAAGUAUUCCAAUGGUCAGAUCAUUAGAUCCUAAUAAGGACCCUUUUAGACCGCGAGAGGAAGAUGAAGAGAUACUUGGUCCUAAAGUACCAUAUCUCAGUGCAAUUGGUGCACUACUGUAUCUUGCUAAUUGUACAAGACUUGAUAUAUCAUUUACAAUAAAUUUAUUAGCAAGAUUUAUUUCCUCGCCCACAAGACGACAUUGGAAUGGUAUUAAACAUAUUUUUCGUUAUCUUUAAGGAACAAAUUGAUCUUGGCUUAUUUUAUUCAAAUAAAUCUAAACUUGAAUUGCUUGGUUAUGUUGAUGUUGGAUAUUUAUCUGAUUUGCAUAAAGCAAGAUCUCAGACUGGUUAUCUAUUUACAUAUGGAGGUACAACCAUUUCUUGGCGAUCUAGAAAGCAAUUAUUAGCCGCCACUUCAUCGAAUCAUGCUAAAAUAAUAGCAAUUCAUGAGGCUAGUCGAGAAUGUGUUUCGUUAAGAUCAAUGACCUACUAUAUCCGGAAGAGUUGUGGGUUAUCCUCUGAAAAAGAAAAUCCUCCGACUAUAUUUUAUGAAGAUAAUGCAGCUUGUAUAGCUCAAUUGAAAGGAGAAUAUAUUAAAGGAGAUAGAACGAAAUAUAUUUCACCAAAAUUCUUUUUUACUCAUGAUUUACAAAAGAAUGGUGAAAUUGUUGUGCAACAAAUCCGAUCAGAUAAUAAUUUGAUAGAUUUAUUUACUAAUGUAUUGCCGACUGCAAUAUUUGAGAAAUUGGUGAAGAAUAUUGGAAUGCGACGACUAUAAAAUCUCAAAUGAUAUUUGCAUCAGGGGGAGAAAUCAAUACACAAGAAUAGUGUACUCUUUUUUUUUCACUAGAGUUUUUGUCCCGUUGGAUUUUUUCCUAGUAAGGUUUUAAUAAGACAUAUUCUUUGUGUAAUUAAUAUCCAAUGGGGAGUGUUAUGAAAUAACUAAAAGUGUGGAUGUCCAUUUGUAUUCUCAAGAAGAUCAAUUCAUAAUUCAUUGCUCCCAAGAGAAUUAAUUCAUAAUUUAUUGCUACAUUAUGUAAAGGAAUUACAUUGGAUGAUCGGUUUCAAUCCAUAAGAGCUAUUCAUGUAUUGGAUGAACCAUUUCAUAUGGCUAUUCAUGUUCUUGUAGUAACGAGUGUUUAAUAGAAUUGAUGUACCUUUAAUUUUGUAGUACCUAUAUAUAGAUGUACCUUAGCUGAUAGGUUGCAAUUUUAUCAUUUAUUUUAUAAUUAAUUUCUCCUAUUACCUGACUUGAUGUGGAUUAAUUGCGGGAUUCUACUCACUUUUAGUAUUUUGCAUUUAUUUCAGGGAGUAGAGCGAAAAUAUAAUAACAGGUGCUAAUUUGACAAAAAAAGAGUCCAAGGCACAGAGCUUAUCCCGGGGGCAUUAUUGGCAAAGGAAGACUUUUGCCCAUUUUGGUAAUUUCAAAAGAAGAGAGCAGGGCAGAGGCCUCUAUUUUACUGGAGGCUGGAGCGCCGCACAAAGGGAGCUUCUUCUUCCUUCGGAGGCUCCGUCCUCUCCGCAAGGGGGCUGCCGCACACAGCAGCCAUUAGAAUAGGAGCAAUUGAUAUAUGACAGAGAAUGAGCACUAGCACCAGGGAGUUGCCUUUGUUGACUUUUCUUCCCUUUUAGUUCUUAGUAGUUGUUUUACCUUCCUCGUACGUAGGACCUUUAGCAUAGUUUCCUUUUGACUUUCCCUUGAGUCUUGGGUGGAUGUCUCCUGCGCAUGUCAGGAGCAAUUGAAGGUCUCGGUCACUUUCUGUAUUCUUCCAUCAACUGAGCGAACUGAGCUCCCUUGGUCAAGGGCAAUGGCUGCGGCUUCCUCUCCAACUUUGUGUGGGAUUCGUUCACCAGGAAUGAACUAAUUUUUCUUUUCUAGUCAAGGAACAACGGAGGUCUUGGUUGGCCUAAAUUUGUGAGAUCGAAUUAGUUUUUAUUUAUUUCCAUUAUUCACUGGUAUUUGUCUAUCUUCUGCUUUAUGUUCAUAUGGUUGUUUUAUUAUUCGAUUAUCCAGGGCCCGGAUACUAGAUUAAUUCAAUAACCUGAAGCCAAUUAGGAUAGUUAAAUCCGUAAUUGUUUAAUUAUUCUAAACUGCUGGCAACUGGCAUGAUUGGGUUUGUGUCAGGGGGAUAAACAUGCUAACUUAAAGAGACCCUCGUAGCGUGUUGAUUGGUUAGAAUUAGGCUCUUCUAAUUAUUCAUGCAAUUAGGGAAUUGAACUUCUAUGGUCGUACCUAGGGUUAUUUCCUGAUUAGAGAAAUAGUCAACGGUCGUACCUUGGCUAUCGACAAAUUGAGGAAGAGUUGGUUGUUUAUCGCGUGUAUGGCAACUAUAACUAAUUUAUCAGAUAGUAACUGGAAUAAUCCUUGCAUCUGUGAUCGAAUUAAGUGAACCAUCUCCGAAGUUGUCUCUUGGCUAGAGUUCGUCAAUUAUUAUUUUUAUUGUGAUAAUUAGUUAUUUGAGUUGUAGUUAUUUUAUUUUAUUUAUUCCAAGUAAUUUAGUUACUCUCAUUUUCAAAAACCCCCCAUAUCUGGAACUUGAGAAGAAAUUAAAUUAUCCCCAGUCCCUGUGGAUUCGACCCUGCUCACCGCUAUAUACAGAAUUUGUAUUUUAUUUGAGCAGGUAUUUAUUAUUGCACAGGUUCGGCACCUGUCAAUUUUUUGCUACAUUAUGUAAAGGAAUUACAUUGGAUGAUCGGUUUCAAUCCAUAAGAGCUAUUCAUGUAUUGGAUGAACCAUUUCAUAUGGCUAUUCAUGUUCUUGUAGUAACGAGUGUUUAAUAGAAUUGAUGUACCUUUAAUUUUGUAGUACCUAUAUAUAGAUGUACCUUAGCACCUCUUGGGUGUACUUUUUGAUUAGUUGGAAUAAUAAAAAAAUCAUUCUCCAUUUCUGUACUUCUUUCUCUAAUAUUUCAAUUCCUAUCACAGUAGUUAUUUUUUUUUAGCUUUACAACAUUACUUAAAUAAGAGAGUUAUUGGACUAUAUGUUUAUUGACCUCUACUAACUUAUUUAAGGUCAUUUCAUAUCACUAUCCAAAGAAGAAUUAAGGUCAUUUCAUAUCACUAUCCAAAGAACAAUUCUUGGGCGCUAACAUUUUUCUUACAUGACUAUUAAUGAAAGUUGACCCAAAUCUCUCUGUCUCUCUCUUUCUUUCAAUUCUUAGGACUGAUGCCAAUUCUUACCAUUUAGAAAGAAAAAUUAGAUUGUUUAUAUAUAUGAUGAGUUCCCUCUAAGUCAUGGUUAAGAAAAAUUCUUAGUUAAACGCAGUUUUAUGAAAUGUGAAUUUCCUUUUCUUUGUCUUUAUUCAUUAGUAUUAUUGGGGUUAUUGUAUUAUGAUUGCAAUGCACAGAUACAUGGAUUUUUGACAUUUUUUCUUUUUAAUUGACUCUGACUAUGCCUCAAACUCGAGACAUCAAACCUGGACACGACUUUUGUCCAAAAUGCUUGUAAAAAUUCAGAAGAAUAAUUUUGGACCUUAUUAUUUGAUAAUGGUACAAUUAUGAGAGUCAUUCCAGGUUAAUUAUCAAACUUGGAACUUGAAAAUAAUGUCGACAUCAUGUCAUUAUUAUUUUUUAGUUUCAUAGAAAAAUGAAGUAUUCUCCAACUCGACAUUAUCAUAGUAUUUUCAAUUGGCAGCUCAUGUGAGAAAGACAAGAAAUUCACAAUCAACUGGCCAAGAGAGUGCCAACAAAGAAAGCACUAAAUGGCUUAAACAAUGCAUGCAAAUUUGCUUGGCACUUAAACAAUAGACACCUAAAUCAACCAUGUCACUGUCUUGCCAAAAAAGGGCAUUAAAGUAAAAACAACUCAUGCCUACCACAGGUAACAAACUUCAGCACCUUCACUUCACUACCAUGUCAGCAACAACAUUUGCAAAUUUCCAAGGAAGUCCACGCACUAAAGGUGCCCAUGCCCUUAGGGGACCUCAGGUUAGUGUUCUUAACCUCAACUCCUGUCUUUCUGUUCUUAGGAAAUAUUGAAAUUAAACGUUAUAACUAAUCCUGAUUUCCUUGUGCUAUAUUUGUACACAAUUUGGCAACAAGGGUAAAAAAAAAUAAAAAUAAAAAGGUUUAUCUGCAAACUGUAGUUCGGCCUGGCUCUUUUUUUUUUUUUUUUUUUUGGGGAUAAGAUCAUCUCAGCACCCGCAGACCCCGUCAUGUAUCAAUAUUUCUGUACUUAGCAUUGGCUUCUUCUCGCCUGAAGAACACACGAACCACCGAAAUAGAUGGUGCAUGAAAGUGCACUUAACCCUUUUAAUUUUUCAAAACAAUCUUUUAGAAAAAAUAAUAAAAACUUUUUGAAUUUAAUUUUAGAGAAGAAGAAUUUUAAAAUUUUUUGAAUUUAAUCUUAGAGAAGAAGAAGUUUAAAAUGUACUUUAAUUUUCACAACUGAUGAUGAAAAUAGCAAAAUGUACACGGAUAGUGACAAAAGUGGGAUCACGGGCAGGAAAUCCUGAAGGUUGCGUGCAUUUUACACACGGCAUAAUUCUGUUUGUAUAUAGUGUAAUUUACUUUUUACAACGUGUAAUUUUAAAACAAAAUUUUGUAAGUCUCACACAUUUUAUUAAAAAUAAGGUACAAGAUGAAAUUUGGACCAUAUAAUUUUUUUUAAUCAAAUCUUGACCGUGAACUGCUCAGAAACGGUUUACCUGAUGACCGUCCCUGGUCCAAACCCGACAAAGGUGCCAUCUUAUCCUUUUACUGACUGGCCCGUUUUCCAAUGAGAGGGCCCAGAAGGGGUGCCUCUGCUUCAUAGUUUAUCCAUAUUGAUAUUUCUUUUCUGUCCCCCUAACUAUUAAAUGUGAAAGGUUGCCCACCAAAUUUGACGAAACCGUUUAUCCUAAUUGAUUAUUAUCAAUAGGGCAUAACUUUAAUAUUCUUCUUCCAACCCUUUCUGGUGAUUCCUGCAACUCCAGCCGUCCGUCAAUGACCAUAAAGCACCAUUAACCGACAACUAACUAACCACUAUUAAUCUAUUCUCAAAUUUUAAUGAAAUUGCACAAUCUAUUCUCAAAUCAAAUUUGAACAACAUUUUAUAGUCGAUAACUUUGAAACUUGAUAAAAAAGUCUGUUUAAACUCGGUUUAGUAAAUAAACAAAUCAAGUUUGAACAAAAUUUUAAACUCAUUAAAAUAAUUAAACACGUUUGAAUAUUAGGGUAUUCGAUUUAAUUAGACACGUUUGUAUCCCUAAUUAAAGCAUGCACUUUUAUAAGUUUAGGAAUCAACAUUAUACAUUUAAUAGCUAGCUAGAGGGUCAAAAAGUUAAUUGCCUUAAAUUCUUUUAGCAGCCAUAAGGUACAGUUGGAGGGAUUCCCUUGAAAUUGGUUAGAUUCUUCUAUGUGACUAAAGAAUUUCGGGUGUGACGCAUUACUAGUCCUACCCUAAAAAAAAAUGGUAUUACUAGUCCUUUUUUUCUUUUUUGGCGUGCCCCCGUCGUGGGAUGUGGGGAGGGGAGUCUGUGCGAGAAUUCUAGGUCGGGGUACAAGGAGCCAAAGUUCACCUUAUUCAAAGUAAACAACCGUCCAUCUCAGUUGUCGACUUUCCUGUCGAUUGCGUAUAUAUAUAUAUUACUAUCUUUUACCAUGACUUUAGAGGAUAGCUAAUUUUGCUUGCUAUUAAAUAAUAAUUUCGGUAGUCUAUAAAUACUCUUGUUCCUCACCGCUCCUAGCACCACAUAAUUCCUUCAAGAACAGCCAAAACCUUCUUGAAAUCCCUCUUUUUCCUUCUAGUUCAUUUCCAAGAAACAAAUGGCCCCUGUCACUUCCAGUUAUGAGGUCACCUCCUCAAUCCCUCCUGCAAGGUUGUUCAAGGCCACCAUCCUCGAAGAGAAGCAUCUUCACAAGAUCUUGCCACAGGGCGUUAAGAGUGUCGAAAUCCUUGAAGGAGAUGGUGGAGUUGGCACAAUUAAGUUGACCACAUUUGUUGACGGUAAGAUAAUCAAUACAAAGUGAUUAUUUUCACACAUUUGAAGUCUUCAAAUUUUUCUCUUUUUUUCCCUUUUAUUUGGGAAAAACUAAUGACUUUUUUUUUUUGGUUGGGUUAAAUAUUUAGGUGGCGAGCAUAAGACUGCCAAACAGAGAGUUGAUGGAAUUGACAAAGAAAAAUUUACAUACAGCUAUACUGUACUUGAAGCUGAUGGAUUUAACGAUGUAAUCGAGAAAAUCUGUUGUGUCAUCAAAUUUGAACCCUCUGCUGAUGGAGGUUCAAUCUGCAAAACCACUAACACAUACUACCCCAAAGGUGGUGCUCAGAUCAGUGAGGAACACCUCAAGGGAGGAAAAGAGAUGGGUUUGGGAAUGGUUAAGGCUGUUGAGGCAUACCUCCAUGCAAAUCCUACUGCCUACAACUAAUUAUAAUGAAUGCUACUGCAAGGACUCUUCGACAUAUUUUCUUCAAGAUUGAAGUAUAAACUGAGGGUGUCUGUUUCCUUUUUUGCUUGGUUUGCUUAAGCUGUUUGGUUAAGUUAUUCGCAGCAAGAGAAUAAAAUAAUUCAUUUGCUGUUUUUAGAUAUGAAUUCAUGACUGUCAGUAGUCUAUAAAUACACUUAUUGCUCACCACUCUUUGCACCGCAAAAUCUUUUCAAGAUCCAUCAAACCCUCCUGUUCUUGAUCUUUCUCCAUUUGUGAAAAAACAAAUUAAAGCAUCAUGGCCCCUAUCACUUGUAGUGCUGAGAUGACCUCCCCAAUGCCUCCUGCAAGGUUGUUCAAGGCCGCCAUCCUUGAUGACCACCUUCUUCCCAAGAUCAUGCCACAGGCUAUUAAAAGUGGAAAUUCUUGAAGGAGAUGGUGGAGUUUGAACCAUUAAGUUGAGCACAUUUGGUGACGGUUAGAUGUUAUAUUAAAUGUAGAACCCAAAUUUUAAGGAUCUAAUAAUAAUCAAUUAAUAAUAAUCAAUGCGUGCAGGGUUACAGAAUUGGAGGGAUAAAACAAAUACUCAAAUAAAUGUGGAAGAAAAGAAAAUAAUAAAUUCAACUCACAAAAUUAUUGAAAUUUCAAACAAUGAAAAAAAUCAUACCUUAAUAAAUUCAGUUGGUUUUAAUAAUAAUCAAAGCAUACAAGGUUAAAGAAUUAAAAGGAUAAAACAAACACUCAAAAUAUAUGUGGGAGAGAAGAAAAUAAUAAAUUCAACACACAAUAUUAUUGAAAUCUCAAACAAUGAAAAAAGUCACACCAUAAUAGAAAAUCUUGCAAAUUCUUCUAGAUUCUUUCUCUUGAGAAACCAACCUAAAUAAUGUUCUAUUUAUAAUCUACCAAACUUGUUAGGAAAGAAACCACUUGCAUAAGAAAUUACCAAAUAAAACAGAAAUUCCUAAAUCACACAACUACUAAAAACAUAACUCAAAUAAAACUAAAAAAUAAAUAAAUUUUUCUUGGCUUAGUUUAAUUUGUUAACAUUGCCUCCCUUAAACCAAACUAUCCAUUGAGAUAUGUUCAACACCAUCUCGAGUAACAAUUUCUAUGCAAAUCUAUGUUGUAGUAUACUUGACAUGAAACUCUAACUUGUUACCAGUUAUUAAUUUCAUCUUUACACGUAACAGUGGACGUACUAUGUAUUUUGUAAAAAAUUUCUCAACAAUUUCUUCUUGAUCAAAGUACUCAUUUAUACAAACCCAUUCAUCACCAGAAUCAUCAUAUUUACCACCAAUGUAAGUUCCUAAAAAUACAAAAUCAUUGCUUGCUUUCUCGCUAAAAUUAUCAUAACCAAAUAAUUUAAAAUAGCCACUACUACAAUCAUCCAAAAUUUUCAUACUGUCAGUCAACUCUUUUGGAGUAAAAUAUUUUUCAACUAUAAUGACAUCCAUAUCUAUCAAAUCAAGCAUUCUCCCAUCACUUUGAAGAAAGUCCGAACCAACGAAUUUUUCAACAACAAUUUCAUGAUCUCUUCUCUUAUCAAGUCAAAAUUUUCUUCUUCUUUUGUCAAAUUACCAUAUUAUUGUUUCAACAAAUUCAUUACUUCUAAUUUCUCCAAACAAGGUACGCAAAUCAAAACUAUCAAUUGAUUCAAAAUUUUCGAUAUCACCCAUAUUAUCAACAAAUCUAUCAUUUUUAAAAUCCACAAACCAAUACCAACAACUAGACUUCGGUUUGAAAGCAUAAUUUCUCUCAAUCGUGUGCAAAACAAAGUAAAUAUCCUUCCAAAAUCUCUAAAGUAUUUUAGUAUGACCAAUAAAGGUUUUAUAAAUACUUUCUGCCAUUAUUUUACACAUCACUUGAAAGAAUAAUUGUGCUUUUUUUCUUAAAAACAUGUUUUGCCAACUUACUUGCAUCAACCCAACAAAGAAUAUCAUCCAAAUUACAUUGUUUGAGAUAUUUUUCCACUGUUAAAAUUCAGCCAAAAUAUGUAUGUCUAUUUGUGUUUAUAGGAGUCAAUAUGGAAAAUUUUUCACCAUCAAUCAGAUCUUUAUAAUAUUCCAUUAUUUAACAAUUUGUAUACCUGAAUAAAUUUUUUUCCUCCAUCCUGUCAUGUUUUCUUGGCCUCCUUGGUUGACUGACCAAAUUAUUGUUGUAUGUAUACCCAUGCUUGUCAAACCUCAUUCGUGUACACUCGUAAGGAGUGGUUUUGAGCUUACUGUGAAUGCUUAAUACCAAGAAGUAGAAGAGAGAAUGCAUAAGAGAGAAUUAACUUGGCUAAAGAAUUGGGAAGCAAUUUAGGGAUUUUUUAAGAAAUUAAUUCUCCAACCGCCACUUUUGGAAAUUUCUAUCAACAACUAGUUACCAAAACACUAGGACAGCGAUCCGUCUCUAUUUUACUCUUCAAGUCUUCGCCGGGGAAGCAACCCGGCCUUGCGAGACUAUAAUGAAUAGGCACUUGCCUUCUGUUUUUACUUUUUUUUUGUUCAAAGACUAUAAUGCCCUUAUUAUUUGACUGCGCAUCUCGCAAGAUAAUGCUUUCCAUCAAAAUUAACUGUUGGGUUUGACAGAAGCGCCACGAAUAUUCUAUUUUAUUAGAUCCAGAGUCAAAAUUUUACCGUUAAUUGUUAGAGGGUUAAAACUUUAUCUGGAAAGGAGUUGGAGGGCCAUUGGAACUCUUUUUCCAAAAAAAAAAAAAAGUCACUUUUGUCAUUUGUCCAAGAACAGUUCUGGGGCCAUCUCGACAGUAUAUAUUUUUCUUACAUGCCAAGACAAUUAAUGAAAAUUGACCAAUAACACACGCACACACACACACACACACACACACUCUCUCUCUCUCUCUCUCUCUCUCUCGGUUGCUGCCAAGUCUUUCCAUUGAAAAAGGAAAAUUCAUAUUGUUUACAUAGAUAAAUUACCUCCAGUCCGUGGAAUGUCUUGAUGUUAGGUGAGUUCUAAUAUUUUGGUAUCAUCUAGAGGUGGCAAAUCAACCCACUUAACUAAAUUUACCCAUAUCCGCCCAUGAAUAGAUGGGUAUGGAUAUCUUAAAUUUUUGUAUAUGAGUAUAAAUGGGUUACCCAAUAAUACCCAUUUAAAUGGGUAACCCAUCAAACCCAAUUAACCCAUUUAGAAUUCUCUUCCCCUCAAGUCUCUUCUUUUCCCCCACCUUUUUUUUUUUCAAAUUUUUCAUUUUGUCAUGAUGUUAACUACUUUUGUUUUAUUAUUAUUAUUUGUUGGUUUUAUCUUAUUAUUUUAUUUUCUCUUAGUUUGUUAACUUACUCAUUUUUUACCAUUACCAAUUUAUGAUAAAUUUUAGCCUAUUUUCUUAUCUUUAUAAAAUGAAAUUUUAAAUUUAUAUAUGAAAAAAAUGUUAGGGGUUCAAAAAUUUUGGAUUAAGUUUUUAUAUUAAUUUUUAUAGUACUUAGUUCAAAAUUUUAUAUUCUUAUUAUUCAAUUAUUAAAUAAUAGGUAAUUUUGUGACAUAGAGUAUAAAUGAAAAAAAAUUGGUAAUUAAGUUUAUUGAACAUUAUAAGUAAAUAUUUAAAACUAAUGAUGGGUAUAAAGAGUGAUAUAAAUUGAUAACUUAGUUUGCAAAAAUGAAUUUAAAUGAGUUUGCAAAAAGUUAAAAUAAAUGGGUUAUAAAUGGGUAAUUGGGUUACCCAAUUCAUUUUUUGACUUGCCUAUUUAUACCCAUAUAAUUAAAUGGGUAUAAAUGAGUUGACUCACUUAUACCCAUUACCCAUUUUACCCAACUCAAACCCGCCCAAGUCACCCAUUUUGACACCUUUAGUAUCAUCUAAUGUUCAUUUGUGAAAGAUUGAGAAAUGAUAAAGAGCAAAACACCAAUUUAUUCCAUAAAUUAUUUUGCUAAAAUCAAAAUAGUCCAUAAAUUUUCUUUUGGCCAAAUUUUUGUCAUGAACUUUCAGAAACGGUUGCAGGGGAUUUCAUCCGGAUUGCUUGUGCAGUUGAGUAACUAUACAGAAAUUCUUUUUGGGAUGCUGAGUAUCUUAGGAUGGGUACAAUGAUCGCUUAGAUCAGUAGAGAUGAUUGAUGAUGUAGUAGGGGAAGAUUCCCUUUAUAAAGCUGAUUUUCUCAUGAUUAAUAAGAAUAUAAAUGUUACCAAAUUUUCUUUUCAAAUGUGUAACGAAAAUAUUGGCCAUGAUCAGCAAGACCUCCUUAAUUAUAAAAGUUUCUUGAAUGUCAUCAUCCAAUUUGUUUAAGCGAGGAUUUUUAAAUGCUAUCUUUAAGCAAAUUGAUUUUUGUAUUAUAGAUACUUACUACUAUUACUUCAUACCUAGCUACAAACCUCAUGUAUGUUUUAGUUUUAAUCCAGAACAAAUCAGGGCCACGGGCCACCUUGCACAUAGCGAGAGUGGAAAAAUAAAACUACACAAUUGCUUUUUUGAAGCCAGUGACUCAACUGAUUUUGCGCUCGGCAAUUCAUCCGAUUUUCAUUAAAAGGGCCCUAAGAGGCCAUUGGCGUUUUGGGCCUGUGAAAAUUUGGAUGAUUUGGUGUGUCCAAUGCAUGUGUAAGCACAAAUUUUGUUGUCUAAAAUAAAAGACAAGAAAACUUACAUAAAUAUCAAAUUUAUUAAAUUAAAUAACAAGAGGGUUACAAUAUUUGAAAAUUUUUGAAUCAAAGAAAUUAAUCUCCUAAUUUUUAUCUUCAAAAGGCUUUAAUCGGAAGGCCAAAAAGGCUUGUUCUCCGAUCAAGAGGGUGUUUUCUAUGAUUUCUAUGUAAAAAACGGCUGCUUUGAUGAUGACGUUAAUAUUUGAAUCUUUAAAUCUUCAACGCCGAUGGAAGGAGGAUUUAUUUAACUUAAUUUGGAUUUGGAUUUGAAUUUGAGGGAAAAAGCUCUCAAGAGAAUUUGACAAAGUUACUUUGAAAUUUAGGAAUUUUAAUGUAUUUUUGCCUUGAGGGAAGACCUUUAUUUAGAGUCAACAUAUGCAAGCUAUGUCUUCAAGAGAAUCCUUCAAAACCAUCUUGCGUUUGGGUAACUUGUACCUUAAGAAACCCAUUUAACUUGGAGUUAAAUAGUCGGCCGACCCAAAUAGUCAAUUGUGAAUUAACAAAUCAAUUAAAUCACUUUAAUUUAAAUGGGCAUCACAUUUUUUAUUUGAUUUAAUAGCUCAUAUAACAUUGGCUCAAUUUGUCAAUCCAAAACAUAAUGAACUUCUAUAAUUUAAUUUAAUUUAAUAAAAAUCAAUUUAAUUUACUUAAUCUUGCCUAAAAAUAAAUUAAAUAAAUUUUCGUUGUCUAUGUCCCCACUUCAAAACUUGGCAAGGCAUUGCAUGUUUAUUUGAAUUAACUUAAAACUUCUUAAUACGAUUCAUCUAAGCACCUUUAUAUAUAUAUAUAUAUAUAUAUAUAUAUAUAUAUAUAUAUUUAUUUAUUUAUUUAUAUAUAGAGGUACAGAAGACAUGUCUUUGUCUUGAAACUGUGACAAACAGGACACUUAAGACAAGGGCGUGUGAAGACUAUCGCACUAUUUGAGCGAAAAAAACCUGUUUUGCACGUAUAUUUUGAAGGUAAUCAUCUUUAUUGUCUUUUGACAACUUCAUGUUGGUCGAGUAUCAGAUAUUCACCAAAUUUUGUUGAAAUUUGUCAAAACUUGAUUUGUUUCCAAUUUGGAGAAAAAAAAAGAUUUUUUUCUUCGUUUCUGCAAUUUUCCAGGUCACUCUUUCCUAUCAACAUGUUACGAUUCAGAAAUUGAGACAAAUCUUGUACAUAGGAAUCUUUUUUAACAGCUGAUGGUUGGAAUUUAGCAGACACCUUGAAGUCAAAGAAGGCAAAUAGCAUUCCAAUAGCAUUAUUUGGUUGCAUGCCAUAUCCAAGAUUUUCACUAGUAAGCCACCAUUUUCUUGCUUUUGAUUGUUAUUCAUUCUCUGUUGCGCAAUUUUAUUUUCGCACAAUCUAUUUUUUUCGUUGAAUUUUCUCUUUUGCAAAACAGCGACCACCAAGGAAAGACAGAAAGAUUUUUUUGUUUUUGUUUUUGUUUUUGUUUUUGUUUUUUUUUUUAUGGUUGCACCUUGUGUUGGCACCCCUUAUUUGAAGCAAGUUGAUGUUCCAGUUGUGUUGGGGAUUUUAGGGCCAUAGCUCUUAGAACUCAAAAUACUAAUGUAAUUUCCGCACUCCAUGACAUUUACUUCUUGUCAAUGCCAAACUCUCCUCUUUUUUUUUGUGAUAUGAAAGGAAGAUCUCUCGUUGCAACAUAUAUGGUGGACACUCAAUUUGAAAGAAGGUGCAACCACCAACUUGCACGAGAGCCAUAUCAUGGUUUGAGGAGUAUAAUGAAAAUGAUGCAACUGCAAACUCUUAUGAGAGCCAUAUCAUGGUUGAGAAGUACAAUGAAGAUAGUGCAAUCAAAAAUUUGAAAAAGGUGCAAUCGCAAACUCCCAUGAGAGCCUAUCAUGGAUUGAGGAGUACAACGAAGAAUGUGCCACAAAAAGUUGAAAAAUGUGCAAUCGCAAACUCGCACGAGAGCCUAUCAUGGUUUGAGGAGUACAAUGAAGAAGGUGCAACUACCCACUUCAAUGAGAGCUUACCAAAACUCGAGAAGCCCUUUCAUUUAACUUCACAUUGACUAUUUAUUACUUCUCUCACUGUCUUCGAUCACACCAUUGUAAUCAAAUUUUUUUCUCUUGCUUUUGGUCCUAACGAAAUGGUGAUGGUCAAGGAAGUUACAUCUUCAAACAAAAGGCACCUCCUUAUCACUAAUAGCCAUGAUGACUCUGCUGACAAAGGAACGAAAUUAUUGGUGCAUCCCUCUAUACAAGAAAUUUACUCUGGUGAUUGGUUUUCUCACAAGUAUUCCGAAUUAAAGGAUUGGUCACUAAAAUUUUCUCAAGAUGAUGGUACGAAAGUUCACUCCUUGAAAUUCCUUAUCAUAAUAAGGAGCCAAGGACAAUUGGCAGGCGAAUCCUAGAUGAGACUAAGGGUGCAAACGAGGCAAGUCGAAUCGAGUUUUGAAGUUAUUGAGUCGAGUUACACUUAUUUAUAUGCGAGCUCGAGUUCGAGGUCGAAAAAUAGAGCUCGAACUCGGCUCGAUGUAGGAAAAGGAAAACUCGAGAUCGACUCGCUUAUGGCUCGCGAGUUUAGCUCGAAUUCUGGCUCGCGAGCAGCUCGAGUUUUGCUAGAUUUUCUGGCUCGCAUGAAGCUCGAAGUCAGCUCGAUUCUAGCUCGUUAGGAGCUCCAGUUCGAACUCGAAAACAGCUCGAUUUUCUGGAAAUUUAUGCAAGAAAACAGAAUUUUUGUCCGCAUAUUUUUGAUAAAAUUUGAGCAUGAUAACAAUAAGUUUUCACAUAUUCUUGAUCUUGAGGCCUACAAAUUAUGCACUAAUACAAUCAUAAAUGUCCAAAUGUCCACUAAUACAAAUUAUCCAAAUGUCCACAAAUGUCCACUAAUACAAAUUAUCCAAAUGUCCACAAGAAGUCUGAAGAAUACCAGCUUGUUGUCCACAAAAACCAAGGCAUGACAUGAAGCGAGAAUUUCCUGACUGCGUCCUGGAACUUUACUCAUUUCUGUCUCUAAUUCCUCAUGAUCAGUUAGUCCACCAACAUUGAACAAUAUGGAUCAGGAAUGGGGAAAAAUCACUUUCUAACACUCAAGAUCACAUACAACUCAUAUCCAACAAAUAUCCUGAAGUUUCAUGAGUAUAAUCACAUUAAAAGAGAAAAGGAUACUGACAAGCAUGCUAAUCAAACUCAAGCAGAAAAGGUACUUUCUCCUUGCCGUCUCCGACAUCCCAGCCAGCAAAUGGCUGGGGUUCGUGACAGCUGUUUGGGUCCAAUCCAUCUCCGGCAACAACUAUACCUUCUCCAAUUACUCCGACGCCCUCAAAUCACUCAUGGCCCUCACUCAGCUCCAACUCAACAACCUCUCCGUCGCCAAUUGAUGUCAUUAAAGCAGAAAAUCGGCCUGAUGGCCUCCACCAGCUGCCAUCCCUAAUCCAAGAAGGUCGAGUGUAGUAUGCUUAGGACCAAAUACAGAUGGAGUUCCCAACAUCAGUUCCUUCAAGCUAGACCCACCAUCACACGGCAGCCCUAGUCCUAGGCCUACUACCAAUGAUGCACUAUCAGACUCAAUUGCCCUCCCACUCUUCGCCCGGAAAGACAGUGGUGAAAAGAGGUAAGGAGGUGGCGGCAAAGAGCGACGGGUUAGCCAAAGUUAGAAGAUCCUCUUUUUCUAGAUUUGCAAGUUUCCUACUCUAGAGACAAAAAUGUCCUUGAUAUUUGGUCGUGCAUCUUACAAGAUAAUGCUUUCCGUCAAUUUUAACCGUUGGAUUUGACGGAAGGGCCAUGAAUAUGCUAUUUUAUUAGAUCGAGAGCCAAAAUUUUACCGUUAAUUGUUGGAGGGUUAAAACUUUAUCUGGAAAAGAGUUGGAGGGCCAUUGGAACUCUUUUUCCAAAAAAAAAAAGUCACUUUUGUCAUUUGUCCGAGAACAGUUCAGGGGCCAUCUCGACAGUAUAUAUUUUUCUUACAUGCCAAGACAAUUAAUGAAAAUUGACCAAUAACACACGCACACACACGCGCACGCACACACACACACACUCUCUCUCUCUCGGUUGCUGCCAAGUCUUUCCACUGAAAAGGAAAAUUCAUAUUGUUUACAUAGAUAAAUUACCUCCAGUCCGUGGAAUGUCUUGAUGUUAGGUGAGUUCCAAUAUUUUGGUAUCAUCUAAUGUUCAUUUGUGAAAGAUUGAGAAAUGAUAAAGAGCAAAACACCAAUUUAUUCCAUAAAUUAUUUUGCUAAAAUCAAAAUAGUCCAUAAAUUUUCUUUUGGCCAAAUUUUUGUCAUGAACUUUCAGAAACGGUUGCUUCCUGCAACCGUUGGUGAGGGAUUUCAUCCGGAUUGCUUGUGCAGUUGAGUAACUAUACAGAAAUUCUUUUUGGGAUGCUGAGUAUCUUAGGGUGGGUACAAUGAUCGCUUAGAUCAGUAGAGAUGAUUGAUGAUGUAGUAGGGGAAGAUUCCCUUUAUAAAGCUGAUUUUCUCAUGAUUAAUAAGAAUAUAAAUGUUACCAAAUUUUCUUUUCAAAUGUGUAACGAAAAUAUUGGCCAUGAUCAGCAAGACCUCCUUAAUUAUAAAAGUUUCUUGAAUGUCAUCAUCCAAUUUGUUUAAGCGAGGAUUUUUAAAUGCUAUCUUUAAGCAAAUUGAUUUUUGUAUUAUAGAUACUUACUACUAUUACUUCAUACCUAGCUACAAACCUCAUGUAUGUUUUAAUCCAGAACAAAUCAGGGCCAUGGGCCACCUUGCACAUAGCGAGAGUGGAAAAAUAAAACUACACAAUUGCUUUUUUGAAGCCAGUGACUCAACUGAUUUUGCGCUCGGCAAUUCAUCCGAUUUUCAUUAAAAGGGCCCUAAGAGGCCAUUGGCGUUUUGGGCCUGUGAAAAUUUGGAUGAUUUGGUGUGUCCAAUGCAUGUGUAAGCACAAAUUUUGUUGUCUAAAAUAAAAGACAAGAAAACUUACAUAAAUAUCAAAUUUAUUAAAUUAAAUAACAAGAGGGUUACAAUAUUUGAAAAUUUUUGAAUCAAAGAAAUUAAUCUCCUAAUUUUUAUCUUCAAAAGGCUUUAAUCGGAAGGCCAAAAAGGCUUGUUCUCCGAUCAAGAGGGUGUUUUCUAUGAUUUCUAUGUAAAAAACGGCUGCUUUGAUGAUGACGUUAAUAUUUGAAUCUUUAAAUCUUCAACGCCGAUGGAAGGAGGAUUUAUUUAACUUAAUUUGGAUUUGGAUUUGAAUUUGAGGGAUAAAGCUCUCGACAGAAUUUGACAAAGUUACUUUGAAAUUUAGGAAUUUUAAUGUAUUUUUGCCUUGAGGGAAGACCUUUAUUUAGAGUCAACUUAUGCAAGCUAUGUCUUCAAGAGAAUCCUUCAAAACCAUCUUGCGUUUGGGUAACUUGUACCUUAAGAAACCCAUUUAACUUGGAGUUAAAUAGUGGUCCGACCCAAAUAGUCAAUUGUGAAUUAACAAAUCAAUUAAAUCACUUUAAUUUAAAUGGGCAUCAUAUUUUUUAUUUGAUUAAAUAGCUCAUAUAACAUUGGCUCAAUUUGUCAAUCCAAAACAUAAUGAACUUCUAUAAUUUAAUUCAAUUUAACUAAGAUCAAUUUAAUUUACUUAAUCUUGACUAAAAAUAAAUUAAAUAAAUUUUCGUUGUCUAUGUCCCCACUUCAAAACUUGGCGAGGCAUUGCAUGUUAAUUGCUGGAGGCAAGACUUGAAGUAUUAAUUUUACUGCUGACCUAAAGUCAAACUAAAUUAAAGACUUCAAGCGUUCGGCAUACGGGUGAUCCACUUUUUUUUUUUUUUUUUUUUUUUCCUUUUUCUUUGGGAAGAGAAUGGUCCACAUCAAUUGUAGAAUUGCACCUCAAAGUCCAAUUGAAUAGGCAACGGUCACGGGUCUUCACUUUCACCUACUACUUGAAUAAAGCCUUGAAGCUCUUGAAUUUUCCAACUCUUAAUUUAGUCGUCAAUGGAAGUGCAGCCCCACAAUAUUAGACCGCAACUUUGACCCGUAGAAUUAGAAACCCCCGUUUGAUUAUGCGAUGUGGGCUCCUGCGCAGAAACUCCCAUAUGCUGAAAUUUGGAGUUUGCUCGUACGUUUCUGACCACCAAAUCUUGUUUUGGCACUUGGCAAUAUGGAAUUUGCUGAGUUUCAACGCUUCCUAAACGGAACUUUAAUGUAUUUCCAAAACCAAUGUUUGCAACUUCUGAAUAAGAAUAUGCCAAAUUUUAAGAGCUUCCCAAAUUGACUUCCAGCCAUUGAAAUUAUUCUUGGGAACCAAAUUCAAAUGAUUUCCAAAAAGUUAAACGAUAAUCACUGAAUUUAGUAUCUGUCCAAAACUUAAAACUUCUUAAUAUGAUUCAUCUAAGCACCUUUAUAUAUAUAUAUAUAUAUAUAUAUAUAUAUAUAUAUAUAGGUACAGAAGACAUGUCUUUGUCUUGAAACUGUGACAAACAGGACAUUUAUGACAAGGGCGUGUGAAGACUACCACGCUAUUUGAGGGAAAAAAAACCUGUUUGACACGUAUAUCUUGAAGGUAAUCAUCUUUAUUGUCUUUUGACAACUUCAUGUUGGUCGAGUAUCAGAUAUUCACCAAAUUUUGUUGAAAUCUGUCAAAACUUGAUUUGUUUCUAAUUUGGAGAAAAAAAAAGAUUUUUUUCUUCGUUUCUGCAAUUUUCCAGGUCACUCUUUCCUCUCAACAUGUUACGAUUCAGAAAUUGAGACAAAUCUUGUACAUAGGAAUCUUUUUUAACAGCUGAUGGUUGGAAUUUAGCAGACACCUUGAAGUCAAAGAAGGCAACUAGCAUUCCAAUAGCAUUAUUUGGUUGCAUGCCAUAUCCAAGAUUUUCACUAGUAAGCCACCAUUUUCUUGCUUUUGAUUGUUAUUCUUUCUCUGUUGCACAAUUUUAUUUUCGCACAAUCCAUUUUUUUUCUUUGAAUUUUCUCUUUUGCAAAACAGAGACCACCAAGGAAAGACAGAAAGAUUUUUUGUUUUUGUUUUUGUUUUUGUUUUUGUUUUUGUUUUUUUUUUUUAUGGUUGCACCUUGUGUUGGCACCCCUUAUUUGAAGCAAGUUGAUGUUCCAGUUGUGUUGGGGAUUUUAGGGCCAUAGCUCUUAGAACUCAAAAUACUAAUGUAAUUUCCGCACUCCAUGACAUUUACUUCUUGUCAAUGCCAAACUCUCCUCUUUUUUUUUGUGAUAUGAAAGGAAGAUCUCUCGUUGCAACAUAUAUGGUGGACACUCAAUUUGAAAGAAGGUGCAACCACCAACUUGCACGAGAGCCAUAUCAUGGUUUGAGGAGUAUAAUGAAAAUGAUGCAACUGCAAACUCUUAUGAGAGCCAUAUCAUGGUUGAGAAGUACAAUGAAGAUAGUGCAAUCAAAAAUUUGAAAAAGGUGCAAUCGCAAACUCCCAUGAGAGCCUAUCAUGGAUUGAGGAGUACAACGAAGAAGGUGCCACAAAAUGUCGAAAAAUGUGCAAUCGCAAACUUGCACGAGAGCCUAUCAUGGUUUGAGGAGUACAAUGAAGAAAGUGCAACUACCCACUUCAAUGAGAGCUUACCAAAACUCGAGAAGCCCUUUCAUUUAACUUCACAUUGACUAUUUAUUACUUCUCUCACUGUCUUCGAUCACACCAUUGUAAUCAAAUUUUUUUCUCUUGCUUUUAUUGCAAGUUGGUCCUAACGAAAUGGUGAUGGUCAAGGAAGUUACAUCUUCAAACAAAAGGUACCUCCUUAUCACUAAUAGCCAUGAUGACUCUGCUGACAAAGGAAUGAAAUUAUUGGUGCAUCCCUCUAUACAAGAAACUUACUCUGGUGAUUGGUUUUCUCACAAAUAUUCCGAAUUAAAGGAUUGGUCACUAAAAUUUUCUCAAGAUGAUGGUACAAAAGUUCACUCCUUGAAAUUCCUUAUCAUAAUAAGGAGCCAAGGACAAUUGGCAGGCGAAUCAUAGAUGAAGACACACACUGGGGUGCUUCCUUGAGAUUUAGUGAUGAAUUUGGUUAUAUCGAGAAUUAUUAGGAGCGGUUGGAAGAUAUUUUUGGAAAAAACAAACAAGUGUUUCGUGAAAAUUACUUGUUCGAUGUCUUAUAUGCUUCGCUUCUCAUAUAUAACAAAAAUUCUCAUGUGUUUAGAGCAUUUUGCGAGACAUGGUGCCUAAACACUAAUACCUUGCAUAUGUCAAUUGGAGAAUUAUCUCUCUCACUUUGGGAUCUGUGUAAAUUAGAAGGACUUCCAAUCAUCGGAUACAUCUAUGAAGAGGCGAUCCCAUGUGUAGAGGAACUAACUGGAGUUAAUGAAAAGAAGUUGAUGCAUAUUCCGCAAAAUUGUGAGUAUUUGUUCGCGGCUCUGCACUACCUUCAACAUGGAGAAUACUACAAUUAUGGAGUUUCUGCUAGCCAAUAGAUUAACUUUUGGUUUAAAGGCAACGUGAGGUAUUCAAAACCAAAACAGAGAAGGAUAAAGAGAGCAUCUAGUGCUUAAGCAACCCAAAAUCCAGAUGGAAAGAUUGGACAACCACGUAAUUUUUAAUUCAAGACAAUGGCAUAUAUGAUACCAUUGGAGACAAGUCUCACUUACGAGAAGAGACUUAUCUUGUAGCAUUUAUAUCUUGUUGACUCUACGUUUUUACUCUACCAGAUGAGGACGUCUAUUAUAUUAGACUAUCUACCUUCAAAAUGGCUAGCAUGAUGGCUGUCGGAUAUAAAACUUGCCUUGCUGUUCCUGUCUUGCUGAGUAUCUAUCACGGAUUCAAUAAAAUUUCAAAUUCAUCUACUCCAAGGUGUGCGCGUGCAUUUUUUUCAAUGCACUACGUGUAUGCUUAACUGGCGAGUUAUUUCUCUACCCAUUAUUCAACUCCGAAUAUCAUGCCUGGACCAACAAUUAUCAAUUAUUCUGGAAAGGGUGUGCACAAUAUUUUGAUGAAAAUAGUGCUUGCGACCUCAUUCAUCAAGGAGACAAAGUAACUUGGGGGACAACUUCUCUUGUGAAGAAUUAAAAUGAAUUUUUUGUUGAUGAUGGCAAGUUAGCGAACCCAGAACUGAUUUAUUUCGUAAGUGCUUGCUCAAAUUAUUUAGUCUUACAUGCUGAAGGAGAUUUUCUUGUUGAGCCAUACAGGUUUGCAAGGCAAUUCGAAUUUUAUCAAAACACCCCACAAGAACUGGGAGCAGAUGUUCAUUCUACAAAUUAUGACUUGAGUCAAAUACUUUGACACAUUGCUAUUCAUAAUAAGACAGAGUCGAAGGUAUUUUUUUCUAGUUACCCCUUGAAUGCUAACAAGCAUAUAUCUCCAGAUUUUCAAACAUGAUGUUUUGAUUAAGAGUGUCCAACCAAAUUUGAAACAGAAGAAAUCGAAAGGAAAGAAACUUGCAAAUUUGAAUAAUCCUGUCAAGGUUGGCAGUAAUCUUGAGGCGAAACAGAAAAUCACCAAGACUGUGAGGAUUGAGGAGAAAGCAUUGCAGAGCUCCAGCAACUCGUGAAAUUCUAAUUUUCAAUGAAGAAUUUUCGAAUGGUAAUUCAUUUUGUCUUCCUUCAAUAAUUGUAAAAGCCACCAAUCAUGAGUCUCGCAAUUCCAAUGAAAAGAAGAGGAGCAACUCUUUUGAUGAGAAGGAUGAGCAAUCUACUAGUACAGACUAGCACUAGAAGCAUAAGAAAUUCAAGGUAAUGACUUUCUCUUUGGAUGAUAUUGUUUUAGACCCUAAAGAAAUGUUUAAGGACAUUCUGGACAAAUAUGUGCUUGGUAUAAGUCAUGCCAAUAUUAUAAGAACAUUCUCUUGCCUUCUUUAGUUUGGCAUUUGAAAUUUACUUAUCAAUUUCAUAUUCAUGAUAUGUCUCAUAACAUUUUCCAUGUAGUUGAAUGAUCAAAACUUGAUUUUUAUUAAUGAUGGGAAAUCAAGCUAAGAAUUCGUUGAAGGACCCACUAUAUUUUAACUUUUAACAAAACAAGUGGUCAAUUCUACUCAAUAAAAGGGCAUCAUUGAAAAUUUCAAAAAGGCAGUGCAUGAUGAAAAUUCAGUUCAACAAAUCAUGCUACAGAAGAAAGAACAUGUGACUUCACCGGAGAAAAAAAAGUUCAAAAUUUUUGAUCCACAACCGUAGCCAAGGGCACCUCAAGUGUCUGAAUUUUGCCCCCAAACUAUGAUCUUAACAUGUCAUCGAGAUUACAUUCAAAUGCUCUGAAAUAAUUUGAAGGUGCUGAUAUCCGAAACAAUCCUGGAACGCAUUUCUGCUCUUAAGAUGAAAGCAAAUGAAAUCAUGGAGGAAAUGCAAAGUUUCAAUGCUAUGAAUAUUUCAAACUUGUAAGGCCUUUUAAAGCCUUUCUUUACAAAACCAAUUCGUUCUGUCGUAAUAAAGUCUUCUUUCUCAAAUAAAAUUUCAAUUGAAUCAUAUAAUGAGUUGUUUUCUAUAGCUACCCAACAUCUUAGAGAUGCUCAGAGUAAGGAGAAAUAAUAACUUAAAAAGUUCUCAACGUACAUGUUAAAAUUUAAAGAGAUUGACCAUGAGAAAAUAGAGCUAAGGAAAUGACUUGAAUCUAUGGGUACUCAUAGGAUGGAAAUACUUUCACUGCUACGAAAGAAACAAGACGAGCUUACCUAAAUGCAAGGCAAGAUGAUCAACUUAUGAAAUGAAAUUCAAAAGAUUGAAGAUUCCCUAUCUUUACUUGUUGAGGAGAGCCAAACAUUGAACAAAAUGCAAGCACUACUUGAAAGCAACUGCAAAAAACUGUCAUCAUUUGAACUUUAGAAUUAGUUACAAUCUUUUACUUUUUUCAAAUUUUAUUUAUUGUCACUUGCCUAUAUUAUAUAGCCACAGGCAUAAUUAAUUUUUUAUUUCACCAUGAAUCAUGAUUUUUUUUAUUUCAUGAUACUCUUGUGGAUAUUUCUUACUUUCCUUUGUUGCUUUCAUUAACCACCAUUUUAGACUAUCGAUUGCAAAAUAAACAAUUCAACAUUUGCAUAAUUUUAAUCACAUUUGAAGAGGUAAUUGUCUACAUAAUUUGAUAAUUUGAACAAUAUACUUUCAGGUGUAUGUUGCAAAGUAAUUUGAAUUGCCCUAAAGAGAAAAACUUUUUAUCUUUUAUUGCAUGACAUCUUUAUGGGGUUGUAACUGAAUUUCGAAGUUACCAUCUAAACUGUUUGCAUAUCCCAAAAGGGAAUAAAUUCACGUGUAGUUCCUACCAUCCACAGUUUAAUUUCUUGCAGGUCAGGAGUAUCUAUUUGCUUAUCACUUUAAACUUGGUGGAGUGUUUUAGUAGUUUAACCAUAUACUACACUAUUGGUGAUUGCCGUCCACAGUUUUAACUCAUAUGGACCAAGAGCAACAUGCAGUUUAGACUCAUGUGUCAUGAAACAACAUGCAGUUUAGGGUCAUGCGUCAUGUUGUCCUUUAUUUUUUUUAUGGCGUGUAUAAUCUUAAGAAAUUUUCAUUUAUGGGUCAACAUUUACACCAUUUUGUCAACUACCUUGUACGCGUUAUUUGUAUAAACAUUUCGGAUAAUAUAUGGUCCAUCCUAUUCGGAGACAAAUUUAUCUUUAGCAUGAUGAGUCAUAACUAUUGAUUUUCGAACGGCGAACACUAUGUCACCAAUUUGAAAGGAAUGAUGAUGAUAGCUUUAGAAAGGUAAGCCUGGUAGCAUUCAAGAUUUUGUUGAGUUUCCAAUUCCUUUUCAUCUAAAGUUUCUAAUUCUUUAAGAAGCAAGCAAAUAUUUUCUUUCUCCAUGAGCCCUUAUUGGAUGGCAAUUCUCAGAGAAAGAAUUUGUUGUUCAAGAAGCAAGACAACUUCUACACCAUAAACUAAGGCAUCAGGGGUGGCUUGCAUUGGAAUUCGAUAUGUGGUGCGAUAAACGCAGAGAGUUUCACCUAUCAUUUCAUGCCAAUCCUUCUUUGAUCUGGCCAUCACUUUUUUCAACAAGUUGCAUAGAGUUUUAUUGAAUGCCUAAACAAUACUGUUGGCAGGGACAUUAUACAUAAAGGACUUGCGAUGUUUGAAUUUAAAUUUCUCACACAACCUAUCCAUUAAACAGUUGAAGAAGGGUUUCCAUUAUCAGUGAUAAUGUGUUAGAGAAUUUCAUAACGAUAAAUAAUAUUUACACGAAUGAAAUUCACCAUAUCUUCUUUUCUCACUUGAGUGGUAUAGUUUCAUCCCAUUUAGAGAAGUAGUUGGUUGUAACCAAUAUAUAUAGAUGUUGUCCGAACGACUUAGGCAAUGGUCCAACAACAUUAAGGUCCCAGGCAUCAAAAGGCUAAGAAGUAAUAGUCAAAUGUAAUAGUUCGGGUAAUUGAUGAAUGUAAUUUGCAUAGAAUUGACAAGUUUGACACCUUUGAGCGUAUUCCAUACAAUCUUUGACCAUAGUAAGGCAAUAAUAGCCCAUCAUUUUAAUCCAAAAAUGCAACUUGGGACCGAAUUGGUGAGUUUGACAUAUUUCAAAAUGUGCCUCUUGCAUAGCUUGAUAUUCAUUAUCUUCAUUCAGACAGCGCAAGAAUACACUUUCAAAUGAUUUUUGAUAUAGCGUAUCUUUGUAUAAGAUGAAACGGGGGCACGACAAUAGAUAUCAAAUCUUUUAUGUUGCUCCUUAGGUACCUUUUGAUACUUGAUAUAAUUGAUAACAGGUUGUCUCCAAUCUUCUUUAUCAACUUCAUAAGUUGAGACGACAUAAGCAUCACCUUCCUCAAUAUUUUCAUUAUCAAAUAAUGGUGAAACUAUCCACUUUUGAUACACACGAACUUGUAUUUCAUAAUUUGACAUAGUCAGAGAAGAAGCAAGCAUAGCUAAUGCAUGAGUUUGCUUAUUUUCUCUUUUAGGGACAUGUUCAAUACUUGUACCUUCAAGUUACCUUAUAAGUUGCGUUGCAUUCUUGUGAUAUGGAAUUAAUUUAAAUUUUUUAACAUCAUAAUUUCCCAAGGGUUGACUAACGACUAAUUGUGAGUUGCCAUAGAUUUGAAACUCAAAUUAUUUCAUGUCAAUAGUUAUUUCAAGUCCGAAUAUGAGGGUUUGAUACUUAACGACAUUAUUUGAACAACGUUGAUUUAGAAUAAAGGAGUAUGGCAAAACUUCUUCAUCAGAUGUUGUAAAUACAAUUUUGACUCCAACUCCAUGACGAUGAGUAGCAGAUUUCAAUAAGGAGUACAUUUUUAUUUGGUAGAUCAUCACUUAACUCCCAUUCAACAAGUAUCGGGUGAUCAAUAAGAAAAUCUACUAGUACUUAACCCUUCACGGCCUUUUGGAAUACAUAAAUAAUUUUAAAUUAUUGUAACUAGGUACCAUUUAGCUAGACAGUUGGAUAGUGUUGGUCUACUUAUCACGUAUUUUAUGAAGUUUGCCUUGAAGAUGAGUCUCACACUGUGUGCUUGAAAGUAGUGUUUUAACUUCUAUAUUAUAAAAAUAAGAGUUAAACACAACUUUUCAAUCGGUGAGUAGUUUAAUUUAUUAGAGAUCAUCAUAAAUAAUAAAGGGCAGUUUCUUUCACUUCAUUAUUUUCUUGUGCAACCAAUACCUCCACUAAACGUUCUUGGGUAACAAUGUAAAGAAUUAAUGGCUUUCUAUAAAUAGGUUCAAUCAAGACAGAUGCCUUCAUGAGAUAAGAUUUAAUGCUAUUGAAUGUAUUGCUGUACGCUUCAUUCCAUUGGAAUGGUACACCUUUCUUCAUAAGGUGAUUAAAUGGUUGACACCUUUCAAUUAAAUUUGAGAUAAACCUCCACAGAUAGGUUAAUCGCUCUUGAAGGCUUUUUAUUUCUGAAUAUUGCGAGAUUCAGGCAUUCUCAAUAUAGCAUCAAUGUUGACUCGAUCAAUUUUAAUACCUCGAUGACAGACCACAAAAUCAAGAAACUUUCCUGAUGUAACUCUAAAUGCACAUUUGAGAGGAUUCAAUUUGAGUUGAUAUAUUUUCAACCGAUCAAAAUUUUGUUUCAAAUCCUCCAAGUGAUUAUUUCUUUUUUUUUUUAUUUAACAACCAAAUCGUCCAUAUAACAUUUAAUAUUUUUAUGAAGCAUGUCAUCAAAAAUAUUUUACAUUAAUCUUUGAUAUGUAGUUUUGAUAUUUUCAAACUAAAGGGUAUUAUGUUAUAACAAUAAAUACCCUUAGGAGUAUGAAAUCUAGUGAGUUAUUUAUCCUCAGGUGUUAUUCGAAUUUGAUUAUAGUUAGAAAAGCUAUCCAUAAACGACAAACCCUCAGACCCAAUAAUUGCAUUAAUCAUGAGUUUGGUGAUGGGUAGAGAAAAAUCAUCUUUGGAACAAGCACUGUUAAGAUCCCUAAAAUUUACGUAGAUGUGAAUUUGCCUGUUCUUCUUUCGUACAGACAUGAUAUUUGAAAUUCAUGUGAAAGACUUAAAUUCAUGAAUAAAUCCAUCAUCAGUGAAUUUAUUGAUUUCAACUUCGAUCAAAUAGACCAAAUCGGGUCUAAAUCACCAUUGUACUUACAUUACAGGUCGAACUCCCUUUUUAAUAGGUAAAUGGUGGACUGCUACUUUUGAAUUUAGACCUAACAUUUCUUUAUAAGUUCAUGUAAAAAUAUCUUGAUACUCUUGCAAGAACUCAACAUAUGUCUUCUCUUCAUCAGAAUUCAAUAAAGCACUUACCUAUAUAGGAUAUGGGUCCUGUGAAGUGCCAAAAUUGAUUUUUUAAGUCAUCUACAGUGGCCUUAACGCCUUGUUCAAAUUCAGGUGAAGCAUCUUCAACAUCUUCUUCUUCUCCAAGGGAAUUAUUAUCAAAUAUGGUUAUAUGGUUGUAUGAAACAAUACUUUCUUCAUCAUCUUCCUUUGAUCUUGUUUCUACAAUAGUAUGCUCUCUAACCUUUAGUUCAGUCCCAUAAAUUAUUAUAAGAUUUGUACAUCUCCUCAUUCUUGAGAGAAUAAUGUUACCAAACUUAUAAAUGUUAUGGGGACAAUCAAAAGAUUCUUCAAAUUCUUUCAGUGAUUUUGUCAUUCUCCAUUUAUUCUUAUGAGAAUUUUGAGACUUUUAUUUUCUUUGUGGUCCUAGUCUUUUGAAGACGAAUACUCACAGAGCCUUAUCCCUAUUUUUAUGAAAAACGUGUGACUUAUUGACUAUUUUAGAAGAUUCAUCUCUUAUAGCAAUAAAUUGACUACCAGCUCUAUUGAUUUUGAUGCGAAUUGGUACAGGUGAAAAAUAGUAAAGAUCAGAUUUAGAAUUCUUAACAGCAUAUCCUUUCCCUUUCAACAUCUUUUGAGUAAGGUUUAACCCAUAAGUCACAUCGCUAGUGGCUUGAGGAGGUUUCAAUACCAGAGAUUUCUUGAAAUCAUACCCAAUUUUGGUAAGAAGUUUAUAAGCAAUAUAAUCAAAAGCUUCAUUAAUUCUUGACGUCAGUAGCAUAUCUUGCUUGAUGUCAAACUCUUUAUUAAGAUGAUCAAACCCUUUGAUUAAAGGCGAUGGUAUAUUCGUAGCAUCAAGUUUAGCCACAGGAAGAGUUAAUCCUUUCAGAGUUUUGUGUGGAAUUGAAGAUGGUUGUCCUUGUCCCAAUCUUGACUUGGGAGGGUAUCCGAAGACAACUGAUUUAUUUUUUAACAAUGAGGCAUCAAUUUUUUUAUGAACUACCUCUUUUGAUUUUGGAAUCACCACUUUCUUCGUUUUGCACUUGAUGAUUCGAGAUCUUGGAUUUUAACCAUAGAUGGAGAUUGUUUAAACUCAUUCUUUAUGUUAUACUGAUUUAUUUUUUAACAAUGAGGCAUCAAUUUCUUUCUGAACUACCUCUUUUGAUUUUGGAAUCACCACUUUCUUCCUUUUGCACUUGAUGAUUCGAGAUCUUGGAUUUUAACCACAGAUGGAGAUUGUUUAAACUCAUUCUUUAUGUUAUAUUUUUGGAUAUAAAAUUUAGCAUUAGCGAUAUGCAUUUCUACUUCAGUGUAAAGAUUAUAAUCAGUUUUCACACUUUUUACCACUCCAUUUCGGUAAUACUUGAAAUAUUGGUGAAGAGUUGAAAGCACAACCCCAUUUUCAUGAAUCCAGGGUCUUCCCAGUAGCAUAUUAUUUAUUGUUUUAGUAUCUAUUACAUACAGUUGUGCUUUAGACAAUAUAUCAUCGAUAACUAUCUCUAAAUUUAACGAUCCAAUAGCUCUUUGCCCUCCUUGAUUAAGGUCUUGUAUUAUUAGUCAGCUUAUUGGAAAGUUUAUCAAUGGAGAUGCCAAAUUCCUUUAGAGUUUUUAAGACAAGGCUAUUGACAGCAGAACCUCUCUCUAU
rnacentral:lncRNA from 1 species